rnacentral:lncRNA from 1 species
UGGUGAUGGUGGUGGUGGUGGGGACUUGUACUUGUAAGGAUGCUUGGGUGGUGAUGGUGGUGGAGGUGGAGGAGACUUGUACUUGUAAGGAUGCUUGGGUGGUGAUGGUGGAGGAGGUGGUGGAGACUUAUAGUUGUAAACAGGAGUUGGUGGGGGAGGAGAUUUGUACUUGUAAGGCUUCUUGUGUGGUGGUGGUGGUGGAGAGUAGACCGGAGGAGGCGGUGGUGGAGACUUGUAAUGGUAAGGUGGUGGUGGGUACUUCUUAGGUGGUGGUGGAGGAGAAGAAUAAGUGUAAUCUGCUGAGGUUUCAAAAGGCAAAUUGAGAGACACUGCUAAAACUAAAAGAGUGAGAAAGAGAGAGGUCAUUGAUGACCCCAUUUUCCCCAUCCUUACUUCUAAAAAUGGGUUUAAUUUGGUUAUGCUCUUAGCAGCCCUCUUCACUCCCUUUAUAUAGACUUUGUUUUAAAGUUACAAUCAUGAUAAAAGUGUGAAGGUGGACCGAACCUUCAGCAGCAUUGAAAAAAGACGUUACGUUUAGGUUAUUAGCAUGGUAUGACAUAAUAAUUCUCUAUUCUCUUCCUUGUCGUUUCCCAUAAAUUUAAUUUAAAUAGUCCAUUUGCUAUAUUUAUAUUUCUGUUUCUCUAUUAAAUAUUUAUCAAAUUCAUUUCUCACUCCUUAUAGAAUAUGAAUAAUUAAUCAUUAAACUCGAUUUAGUAAAUACUUUAAAAAAUGAUUUAUCUUAUUUUUAUGCUUUAAUUAAGGCAUCAAAUCAUUAAUCCCAUUUGAUAUUAUGAAAAUUUAUCACUUAAUUGAUCAAAAUGUGAUUCUUGGCAGGAAAACAUAAUUUACUUUCCUUAAAAUGUAAUUUUUAUUGAGAGUUAUUUUUCCACUAACAAUAGAAAGUGAUUCUCUUUAUAAUUCGUGAAAAAAUUACUUUCACAUGUAAAUAAAAAUUGUUAGGAUAAAAUUAACUUUUCUUUUAUUUAUGUUAAGGUUACUAAUUAACUUAUUCAACUUUAAUAAAAGAUAAACAUAGUUGUAGCUUGUUUGUUGAUGUUAGUUUUUUGUCUUUACAACUUCAAACCAUUAUUCUAGUGUAAUUUUUUUUUCUUUCUAAAUAGUAGAUAAGUAUCUAUAUUUUAUUUUGCUAUAAGAAAAUUAUAUUUUUUAGCAUACAAAACUUAAGAUAACUUGUAGAAUCAAGUAGUUGUAUACCUAUUACUCUAGCAAUAAUAAUAUUGACAUUGUCUACUUUCAAAUUAAAAUUUCAAAUUAGUUCAUUGCCCAAUUUUCUCAUUAAAAAAAAUUAUAUAUAACAUGUCAACUUAACGAAACUUACAUGAAAUUUUGUAUGUGUUAAAAAUGAAAAAUAUGGCGGUUAUUAAAAAAGAUGUCAUACAUCUAAAUCAAACUACUAAUUUAAAAAUUAGUAUUGAGAUAAUUUCAAGCCAUAUAUGCAAUAUUUGAGUAUACUUGAACUUAUACAUACAAAUUAGUGAGGAUUAAAAUUUUGUAAAUUGUACAUCUUCACAAUCUUGCGUUAAUAUACAAUUUUUUUAAUGUAUUAAUAUAAUGUUUUAGAUCAAGACGUGAAAAAACAUAAUUCAAAUAUUUGUUAAUAGUAAAAAAUUAUUAAUAAAUAUUUAAUUCAAAAUUUAUUAAUAAUAAAAAUUAUUGAAAAAUAUUAAAUACGUUAAUAUUAUUUUUAUUUAAUAAUGAUACUUUUGUACAGUAAUCUUAUAUUCCCAAAUAAGUGUUAAAUGUGUCAAGAUUUUAAUCAAUACUUUCCGGUGAUUACCAAACGUUGUGAAGUAACUUCUUAAACAAUAAUAUUCUUAUCAAUCACAUUCCAUUAAAAUUUUAACAUAGAAAAGCACCAAAACGCCCCCUUAAAAUCGUGGUAAGUCUUGUUUGUCUAAAAUUUAAAUAUUUAUUUUAUUAUUUAAAAUAUAUUAAUUUUCUAAAAAAAAUCAUUAAUAUUUAUAUUUCUAAUUUUAAACAUUCUUUUGUUAAUUAAAUGAUAGUCUAAACGGUUAAACUCAAAUCGAAAGCAUUUUAUCUUAUAUUAGAUUAUAUGAAUCAUAUUAUGGUUGAAAGUAAAAUGUAUAAAAUCAAUACAAACAUCAAAUAUUAAACUUCCACUCAAUAGAUUUUAAAAUUUCUAAUUUUAUCACUAAUCUAUUUUAAGAUUUUUUUAAAAAAAAUCGUACUUUAGAUUAUCUAAUUUAAAAUUUUAUAAAAUUAUUAAAAAAUAUUCUUGUAAUAAAAAAAAUUUGUUUUAAAAUUUUUAAUUUUUUAUAUAACCAAUGAAUUUUUUACGUUUGUUUUAACUGGUUAUCUAAACAAAAUAAAAACUUAUUUAGUUUAAAUAAAGUGGUAAAUGUGAAAGCACCACAAAUCACAACUACAUUAGUUUUAUAAUUGGAUUAAUUUAAUCACCGGCAGAGGAAAUGUGUUAGUUCUAGCUACCAACAAUUCAUUUUAAUUCCUUUAAAAAUAUUAGAAAAAACCAAUUUGAUUUUUAAUAAUAGAUCUAAUUACUUAAAGGAACAUGGGUGAUGUGCACAUGGCAUACAAGCAUAAAAAAGAACAAAAAGAUUAAGUAUCUUUGCAAAAUAUCUCUCUCUGAAAUAAAUAAAACUUAAAAAAAAACAAUUUUAUUAUCAAAAUAAAAAGAAAAUAGUGUUUUUCUUCACAAAAAAAGAAAAGAAAAGAAAUACUAGUGUUUUUAAUUAAAAUAGAGUGAUCUGGGUAGAAUCUUUUACUUAAAUACUGACAUUGACUUUAUAAGCUAUUUUUUAUCAAAAGAAGAAAGAGAAAAGCAUCCGAUUGAAGAUGUGAAUUAUUAAGUUAAAAUUAAUCAUACAUGUAAAAUAUUAUUGUGCUUUUUUCUAGCCCUCCGAAAGACAUUAUGCUUUGAUUACAACAUUCUUCCUCAGAGAUGAGGUUUGAAGAUGAACUCGGAUGCAUUUAGAUUUUUACAAGACGAAAGUAAAUUAAAGGAUGUUAGUACUUGUAUUCCGAUACGCUUAUAAUACAGAAAGCAAGUAAUAUGUGACUGUACAUAAUGGCUAUGAGGCGAGGAUAUGAUACGAGAAGAUAGAGAUGAGAGAUUGCACUUAAGGGGUUAGCACCUCUUUUCUUUUUGUGUUUGGUCCCCAAAGCAUAUCUCUUAUUGGCUGAUGUUGCAAGGCGGUCCCAUAAGUUGGGCUAAAAGUGCUUGAUAGCUAGAAUUAAUAUUGUGGUAUAACAUAUGUCACCCCUAUAUUUGAAUAAGGUUACAAAGUGACUACUUGAAGAUUUAAAAAAGCAUGGAGAUAAUUUUGUUGCGAAAAUUAAAAGUAAGAGCUAAAUUGUUUGGCUUUAUUAGAGUAUAGACUCUGUUAGUCUAUUAUCAUUUUGUUAUAUAGGCUGGAAUAUUAUUAGUAAGCAGUUAGCAGCAGUUAGUCAUACAAGUAUAAAUUCUAUUCAUGUAUUGUUCAAAGAUAAGCUAAUAAUACCAGAAGAGAUUUAACAUGUUCAUUCUACUUUUUUUUGUUAUUCUUCAUAAUACAGUUGUUAACAUGGUCUCAGUCGCCAAAUUUCUUGGAGGUUGCUUCUAUUGUAGAUCCAUGGCCAAUUCCACUGAUUCUACCUUCGCUGGUCGUAGCAGUCCCUCAUUCUCAGUUCAUGUUUGGUUCAAUCGUUUCCUCGUCAUGGCACUGUGAAGUUAGAUGAAGGAAAUUUUGUACAAUGGCAACAGCAUAUCCAAUUGAUAAUUGAAGGAUAUGAACUCAUAAGAUUUUUAGAAGGGACGUUACCUGCUCCGCCUCGCUUUGUGUCAUCUCCGGAUGGAAACUUAGCUCUGACUCCCGAUGCAUCCCUGUUUGUUCAGCAAGAUAAGUUACUCGCUUAUUGGUUACUUUUUACGAUUAGUGCUCCUUUGUUUUCUUGUUUUACAACUGCUAAGACGGCGUGUGAGGUUUGGAGCACUGCGAAUUGCCUAUUUGCUGCUGCCACUAGAGCCAAGCUUUCGCGUAUUAAGCAUGAACUCCAGUCCAUCACGAAAGGCGUGAUGACUAUCAAAGAGUAUAUUGCUAAGAUUCAAAAUACUUGUGCGUUACUCGAGGAAUCUAGAUCAGUGGUUUUAAAGGCUGAAAAGGUAGAGAUCAUUCUUGCCGGCCUAUUGUCUGAUUAUGAUGUCGUUUUAACUCUGGCAUCGUUCUCAACUGAAACUUUUUCGUUAUAAAAGAUUGUUGAUAUGCUUCUGGAGUUCGAAAGCCAUCAGACUCAAGCGGUGAACGACGUACCUUUUCAUGCUCAUUUGGUAGAGGCCACUUCGGCGACAUCCGUGGAGGACUCCGUACGUGGUGGUCGUCCUCCUUCUGGUGCUCGUAGGCGCGACUUUCGAUCUCAGCUUCAGUGCCAGGACUAUGGUUGCUAUGGACAUUUGGUACAAUGCUGUUAUUAUCAGUUCAACCGCGACUACAGUGAUCUGUCUGUUUUGACCAUGGCGCGGGUUUCGCCUGUUCAUGCUGAUCACAAUUAGCAUAACGAUGUUUUUGGCGCAAGUGGUCUCUCGACUAGCUGGUUUUCAUCAACUUGUCCUGGUCCGGACCCGUUCGUGCCUGGACAGUAUGUCGAUUCUUUGGUGGUGACACCGGCGUAUUUCUCUUAUGGCUCAUCAUGGUGAGGGUGGCCACAUUUGCAAAACAAUGCCUCCCUUGUGCCAAGUUUGUUGAAUGUUAAGGUUUCUAACCCUUUUGCUCAUAAUUUUGACGAUGGGGCAGGCUAGGUGUUUGGGCUCGCUGUUGGACCAAGCUCAAAUUGUGGCCAAUUUGGUGGUCCUCACUUACCGCGGAGAAUGGGCCAGCACGUUAGGCCAUUUGCUAGUGUUCCUAGGCCGACUGGUUCAGGCCAAGAUUUUGGGCCAUAUGGAAUUCGUAGGCUAACCAGUGCUGGUCCUAACAUUGGACAGGGUUCACUUGGGCCAAAUGUUAAUUUUGUUAGACUUGAGGGCUCUUUUGGGCAUGGACAAGGACUUUGGCCCACCACUGGCAAUGUUUCAGUGCCAAAUAAUGGGUCAUGCGUUCCAUGGCGCACUAAACUGACGGCGCACAUUAUUGAUUGAUUUCUCACUGUGUGUUGGGUUGCCUCACAUUCUUGAUUUUCAUGUGUCUGAUAUUUUUACUACCUCUGGGUCCAAUGCUAACACGACUCCGUAUGGGUCUAAUUUUGAUAAUGAUAACUCUUACAUUCCUAUGCCUGUAGGGACCUUGUCCUGGUGUCUUAAUUCAGGGUCUAUACAUCAUGUCUAUCGAGAAGCCUCUACCUUGAACGAGUCUACGCCAUACUCAGGUACAUCUCCUCUCCUCAUGGAUGAUAUUACUCCUACAAAAAUAUCAUGUGUUGGAAACUCUAUCUUGCCUACGAAGACUAAGCUGUUUCAUCUAUCUAAUGUUUUGUGUGUGCCAAAUAUACGGAAGAAUCUGCUAUCUGUCUCUCAAUUUGCUAAUGACAAUAAUAUGGUCUUUGAAUUUCACCCGUCUUAUUGAGGACAUCCAGACUCAGGAAAUUUUGCUUCGGGGCCACACUCGUGAUGGGCUCUAUUAUUUUUCGUAGGUUACUCAUGUUCCGUCUGUCGUUGUUCCUUCUGUUCACAACACUGGGCUCCAGAGUCGCAAUGCCGGUGAUGAUGUUUUUACGUUAUGGCACUACAGACUUGGUCAUCCGUCUGCCUCGAUUGUUAAACUUGUUCUCGAUAAGUGUCAAGUUGUUUCAACUAAAAUGUACCUUGAAAAUAUUUGUAUUGCUUGUCAAAAGGGGAAGUCCCAUAAACUGUCUUUUUCAAGUUCUACUACUAAAUAUACGGAUUUGUUUGAAUUGGUUGUCUUUGACUUAUGUGGACUGGCAUCUGUUGUCUGUAGAAAUAAUCUGUAUCAUGUUUCGUUUAUCGACAUGUGUAGUUAUUUUACUUGGAUUUAUCUCAUUAAACGUAAUUCUAAGGAGGUUGAAUGUUUUCUUCAGUUUCAGAAAAUGGUCAAAACUCAGUUUGGGAAAGAUAUUAAAAAAAUUCAAAGUGAUUGGGGUGGUGAGUUUCUUGCCUUUACGUCAGUUCUGGCUAGUCAUGGGAUACUUCAUCACCUCUCCUGUCCAUAUACAUCCGAGUAGAACGAUGUAGCUGAACGAAAACAUCGACACAUUGUUGAGAUGAGUCUUAUUCUAUUGGCCAAAGCUAACCUAUCCAUGGAUUUCUGUGGUUUCGUAUUUUACAAUGCCAUUCAUCUCAUUAGUCUUCUACCGACCCUAGUUCUGAAAGGUCAGUCUCCAUAUCAGGUUCUUCAUGGUAGUGACCCUACAUAUGAUCAUUUACAAGUAUUUAAGUGUUGUUGAUUUUCGUACCUGCGUCUGUUUCUGCAACACAAGUUGGAUUUUCAUUCUCAGCCAUGCAUAUUUUUUAGGUAUAGUUCUCAACAUAAAGGCUAUCACUGCCUCACACCAAAUGGUAAGGUCAUUGUCUCUCGUCAUGUUGUGUUUGAUGAACGUUGGUUUUUCUUUUCUUCAAAUGCUGUGAACACCGUUCAGUUAAGUCCAUGUAUCUCUACAUAUGUUCCUAUUGUUCGGUCUUCAUCUUGCCGCCCCACGACAUCUUCGCUUGUUCGACCCACUGAGUCAUCGACUCUUGCUCCUAAUUGUAGUUCCACGCUGUCUGUUUCAGUUGACACUCCGGCUGAAUUAGGUUUUACUCAUGAGGUGCAUCGGCUCUCUACCUCAUCCCUUGAAUCUCGUCAAUGCGAUCCAACUACAAUUCCAUUGGCUGUUCCAUCUAUUUCUCUGGAAUACUCAUAACACUAUUACUCAGCUAGACCCAAAGCUCUGUCUGUUGAAAUUGUCAACUGUGAGUCGAUCACGAUUGAAGAGGCGCUCGCUAGUAAGGAAUGGCAAUUAGUUGUCCAAGCUGAGUUUGUUGCUAUAAUGGUUAACUCCACUUGGGAGCUUGUUCCCUUACCUCAUGGUCGAAAAGUGAUUAGGUGUAAGUGGCUUUUUAAAAUAAAAAAAUCCUGAUGGGACUAUCACUUGACGUAAGGCUCGGUUGGAAGCAAAGGGUUGUUCUCAGGUACUCAGGUGUGAUUUCAAGGAAACCUUUAGUUUGGUAGUUAAACCUGCUACUAUUAGAACCAUAUUAUCUGUUGCUAUCUCCAACGGUUGGCAAUUUGGUCAGGUAGAUGUGAACAAUGCUUUUUUAAAUGGUGAUCUUAUUGACGAAGUGUUCAUGCAGCAACCUCUAGGCUAUGUUCAGAUUGGUCAAAAUGGUGAGCCCUUGGUGUAUCAUUUGACAAAGGUGUUGUACAGAUUAAGACAAGCUCCACGUGCUUGGUUUGAUAAAUUGAAACGUUUUUUUGUUUCUAUUGGAUUUGCUUUAUCCAAAUCUGAUGUAUCCUUAUUUGUUCAAGUUAAUUCGAAUCCACUAUUUAUGUUUUAGUCUAUAUGGAUGAUAUUAUCGUUACUAGAAGUACGAUCGACGGUAUAAAUGGCUGUAUUCAAUAGUUACAUAAUGUGUUUCCCUUAAAGAUAUGGGAGAUCUUUACUACUUCUUAGGCAUUGAAGUCACUCGGUAGUCCACUGGGAGUCUCCAUUUGUGCCAACGCAAAUACAUUCGGGAUCUUCUUGACAGUAGUUUUUUAGCUAAUGCAAAGAGUGUUCACACACCGAUGGUUAGUUCUUUUACGUUGUUUAAAGAUGUGGGAGAUCGCCUCGUUGAUCCUACUGGAUAUAGAAGUCUUGUCGGUGUAUUACAAUAUGUGGUCUUGACUCUGCCUGAUAUUGCUUAUGCUAUAAAUCAUGUUUGUCAAUUCAUGCAUGCCCCUACUACAGUACAUUUGGUGGCUUUGAAAAGAAUCUUGCACUAUUUAUGUGACACUAUUAAUCAUGGGUUAAUUUUGUCUGUUCAACAUAUUGUCUUUAGUUGGCUAUGCUAAUGCCAACUGGGGACUGGAUUUUGAUGAUCGUAAAUCAACAACAAGCUAUUGUUUGUAUUUUGGGUAUACACCCAUCUCUUGGUGAUCUAAGAGACAACUCUACUGCGUGAGGCGAAGUAUUUUGGCCGCACCAUGGCUGAGGUGAAGUAUCGAAGUCUAGCAACAACUACCAGUGAUGUUACUUGGUUAGUCUCUCUACUAACAAAAUUACAGAUUCAUUCUAUAGAUCCACAUACUAUUUGGCGUGACAACUCUAAUGCAGUAGCGGUCAUUGCUAAUCCGGUCUGACACUCUAAAUUUAAACAUGCCAAGCUUGAUCUAUUUUUUGUUCGCGAAAAGGUCGCUAAUGGUUCUCUCGUUGUCGGUGAGAUUCUAGCAUGUGAUUAAGUUGCUGACAUUCUCACAAAACCACUGUUCGUCUCUACUUUUGCUAGGUUUCGUAGUCUGCUUCAAUUCUUACCUCUUGAGAAGCUGGGUGAAGCCAGGUGAAUAUUAGAGUAUAGACUCUGUUAGUCUGUUACCAUUUUGUUAUUCAGGCUGGAAUAUUGUUAGUAAGCAGUUAGUCAUAGCAGUUAGUCAUACAAUUAUAAAUUCUAUUCAUGUAUUGUUCAAAGGUAAGCUAAUAAUACCAAAAGAGAUUUAAUGUGCUCAUUCUACUUUCUUUGUUAUUCUUCAUAAUACAGUUGUUAACAUGCUUGAUAUCAUCUCUUAGAGAGAACGAGGAGAGAUAAGAGUAAGAGUAUGAGCCAACUAGGGAUAAGGCUCUACCAUAAUACCUUGGAUGCAAUUAAAGUAAGAGUAAGAGCCAACUUGUUUGGCUUGAUAGCAUCCCCUUAUAGAAAAGGCUCUACCGCAUGGCAUGAGAGCAAUAAAAGUAACACUCAAUUUCUUGGGUUGAUAGCAUCUCCUUAGGGAAAAGGGUUUACCAUGUGACAUGAAAGCAAUUAAAGUAAGAGUAAGAUCCAACUUGUUUGUCUUAAUAGCAUCAUUUAAGAGAAAUAUCCCAAUCAAUUUAUUCAAAUAUGUUAAUCAAAUAAUGCAAGUUACAAUGUUCUGUCAGUUUUUCCUUUAAUUGUAACUGGGUUAAAGUUGGUAGUUGUAACUGCUACUAAUAGAAUGGAUACGGUAGAAAUGGUUGCAAGCAACAUAAGCAAAGAUGACUUUAAUGUCUUUGUAUUGACCACGUGAGAACUAUAGAAUGCAGAGAAUAGUAUGGUGAUUGGCAACAGAAUGCUACUAACCUUGAGGAUAGUAGACAGGGAUGGAUCCACGGGGGUUGGGGGCGGUCCCCCCUUGGAAUUUUUAAAAUUUUAAAUUUUAUAUAUAAAUUAUCAUGUAUUUUAAAUUUGGUGUCCACAUUGUAUAGCAUUCACCCCCCUUUUCCAAAUUGCAUUUCAUAUCAUUUGCCCUCUUAAGCCAUAAGGUUAUACUUUAUAUUAACAAAGUAUUUUCCAUUUUUUAAUUAUAUAAAUUUAAUAAUAAUAAUAAUAAUCAAAUAUUAAUAUAUGAUUGGCAUUGAAAGACUAAACAUAAAGGUCCAGUUGAGACUUUAAAGCCAAAUUCCAUAAUUAAUUAAUUGAUUUGGCCCAUACCAGUACAUAUUAGGUUAGCGAAAUUCUUGUAUUUUGAUUUGUAUGUCUUGCUAAGGAAUUAUCUUCCUUUGGUAAGGUGUUGACACUGCCAAGAGAAAAAGAAAGGAUUUUGAUGUCGAGAUUGUGAGCAUAGAGUAAAAAAAAUACAAAUUAUCUUCCUCUUAGCUCCUUAUGGAAAAAACCUCUCGGUAAAUAUUUUUGCAUAAAUUAUGUUUUUUAUUAAUUUGACUUAGUUUUUUUCUUUUUUCCUAAUACAUUGUUGUUUAAUAUAUUCUUACAAUCAUCAGGUUUUUUGACUAAAUUAUGGUCAAUAAAAACAUCGAAUCUAUUUAAAAAAAAAGAGUGUCAGAAAGCAAUAAUGAUCAACCGGUUCCUCAACCUUCCAUUAUUAGUGAAGAAAAAUCAAAUAUCGGAUCUUCCAAAGCUCUUGAACAAAAUAUCAGGUCUUCUUAAGCCCAAGCUCCUAAAUGCGGUAUGGAGUCUUCCCCAACUCCUGAACGAGAUUGUAACAAUCCAUACCCAAUUCGAUCACCAAAUCCAAGUAGAGAGCGCCGCAACUUAAACCAUAUGAAUUGAAUAAUAAAUAUUUGAAAUUUAUUAAAGUAUCGAGUUCUUGGUGUAACCCUCAGUAUAACAAUACGAAACAAUUAAAUCAAUGAUACGCCAGGAAAAAAUGUUUUUAGGCAAAACACAUGGCGGAAGCCUUACAAAAUUUUAUAAGUUUAUAUAAAAUGUAAGAUGAGUUAAUCCCAUACAACAGUUUCAAGUGCAUCGUUGGCGGUUAAAAGAACAUUCAAAAACUAUUCGGCGUAUAUGCCAAUGAGACAAUCACGUGGAACAAGAUAUAGUAGCUUAAACACAUACAUCACUUACCACGUCAUCAUAACAUAUACUAACCAUAUAAACAAACUUAUCGAGCUGCGAACUAACAAGUUCACCCAAACAUCUAGGGUUAGCGAUAACUUAUUAGAAGAGCCCGCCAAACCCUAGAGUUCGCCAAAACCUGGAGUUCACCAAAUGGCGACUCCCAUAGAAUACGCCAAACACACAACCAAAAAUAAAUACUCUACUAAUUUACUCAUUUUAUAUUCUUAGCAUAAACAACUAUGCACCAAACAGUAACUUGAUACAUUAUCUUUCGGGCGAGUUGUUACAAUUCUCCCCCAUUUAGAAACUUUUGUCCUUGAAAUUCUUACCGGUGAAUAACUGAGGAUAUUGUUCUUUCAUCGAACUCUCUCUUUCCCAAAUGGCUUCUUUUGUAUUGUGAUUUAUCUAUAAUACAUUAACCAAAGGAAUUCUUUUACUUCUCAACUCUUUUACUUCCCUUGCUAAAAUACAAACAGGUUCUUCUUCAUAGGACAAGUUUUGCUCCACUUCCAGUGCUUUGACUUGUACCACAUAAUCUGGAUUGGAUUGAUAUUUUCUUAACAUAGAUAUAUUAAACACAUUAUGUAUAUUUGAUAACUCUGGUGGCAACACCAGUUUGUAUGCCACUGGACCAACUUAUUCCAAAAUCUCAUAUGGUUCUAUGAAAUGCAGACUUAAUUUCCCUUUUUGUUCAAACCUUAUGAUCUUCUUCCAAAGAGAAAACUUCAUAAAUGCAUUGUCACCCACUUCGAAAGAGAUUAUUUUCCUUUUUAGAUCAGCAUAAGCUUUCUGGCGAUCUUAAGUUACUUUCAGAUGAUUUCUAAUGAUAAAGACUUUCUCUUCUGUUUCUCAUACUAAAUCAAGACCAACUAUUUUCCUUUUACUGAGUCUCAUCCAAUAGGUAGGAGAUCUGCACCUUCGUCUAUACAAAGCUCCAAAUGGUAACAUUCCCAGACUGUCAUAAUAACUAUUAUUAUACGCAAACUCUAGCAAAGGAAGAUAUCUUUCUCAAUUCAUUCUAAAAUCUAUAAUACAACCUCUAAACAUGUCUUCUAGAACUUGAAAUACUCUUUCAAAUUGCUCAUCGAAUUAGGGAUGAAAGGUAGUACAGAAUCAUUAUUUCGUUCCCAACGAUUCUUGCAGUUGUCUCCAAAAUCUCAAUGUAAACAUUGGGUCUCGAUCUGAAACUAUGGAUGUUGGAAUCCCAUGAGGCGUACAACUUCAGAAACGUAGAGAUUAGCCAACUUUUCCAAUAAGUAAUUUGUGCGGACAAACAAGAUAUGGGCUAACUUAGUAAGUCGAUCUACAAUUACCUAGACUGAGUACUUCUUCGAAAGGAUGAGAGGGAGAGCCAAAACAAAAUCCAUGGUGAUCUUAUCCCACUUCCACAUAGAUAUCUCUAAAAGGUACAACUUGCCUAAGGGAACCUGAUGUUCUAUUUUAAUCUGCUGACAUGUCAAACAAAUGGAAAUGUACUUUGUUAUUUCUUUCUUCAUUUCAAGUCAGUAAUACAAACUUAUCAAAUUAUGAUACAUUUUAUGUAAAACUCUCAACCCAACUCGAAAUGUCGAGUCUGGAUCUCGGGUAUUACUAUACAUAAUACUUGGCAAAAUAUCAAAAUAGUUGACAAAUACUCUUUAUAGAAAACAUUUUCUUAUUAUUUUAACCAAAAGACUAAAUAUUUAAUAACAAGAGAAAAUAUUAAAAACAAAAAAAAAUUAUUACAUCAGACUUGGUACAACUCAUUAUAGUAUAAAAUUUUGUUAAAGACAUACUCUUGGGGCAUAACCCUAAUCUAAGCCACUUUUCCACUAUAUGCAUAAUAACCCACUUCGCCACUAUCUUGGCGUACUCCUAGCAUCGUCACUCCUAAUGCAUUCUCUACCCAUACACCUGAAAACAACAACAUUUUAAGCUUAAGAUAACUUAGUGACUUUUAUCCCAAAAAUACCUUGGCGAGUACUUUAUAUUAUUUGAAGAACAUUUGUGCGCCAUCUAUCCUUCUGAACCACCUUCUUCUGAAUUAAGUGGAUACUAUUAUAGAUUCAACUUUCACUUACACGCCAACUAUCAUACUCUUAACAAACUCACUUAUUCUAGAAUAGUUGUUCACAUAUAUUAAUCACUAAUUGAUACAUUCAUAUUUGGCGAAUACUUACGCAGAUCUGAAUACCAUCAAACUACUAAUCAAAUCAUACCUUGAUCCGAUACCAUACAAACUCAUACUGAUAAUGUACUACACAAAUUAUUCAAAUGAAUUUUCCACUACUUUGUUACAGGACCCCAGAUAAUCAUCAUAACAAUAACUCAAUUUUCAUAUGAUUUCAGAAGAAGAUAUAAUACAACCCAAAUACGGCAAAUUCCAGAUAACUCAGAUUCAACAACUGCUUAACACAUACGAACUCACAUUUAUAAUUUCUUAUGUCCCACAUAACUACGACUAUGUCUAUAUUCAACACUAACAAAUAAUCAUGACGGAUACCCUUCUUAUACAUAUAUGCAUUUCUUUUCUAGAAAUCUCUUAAGACUUACUCAAUUAUAUCACAUAUCUUAUUCAACCCUUAACUUUAGACAUAUCAUAACCCUAUCAUAUCAAUAUCUAUCACAAAAAAAAUCAGGAUUUAUCCAAAACUUACCAUAAAGGUAGAUAAUCAUAUUAUAUCAGACAAACUUAACUAAAUGUGCCACAAAGGCCAAACAAAAUAUGCCUUAAAGGCUUCAUACAAAAUCACGUGUUUACUAUCCCGACGGACUAUCACAAAAGGUGUCAUGGGUUUCUCCCACAUGGACUUAUACAUAAUUUCAUGUAUUGUGAUCUGCCAUUUUGAAUCAUACGUUAUCGAAGGAUACUCCAUAAGCAUACAUACAGACAUAUCUUGCCAUGUGUCUCAGCCACAUGGCUUAAACACACAUUCAUGUACUGUGAUAUGUCAAUCCAGUCUUACUCUUAUUAGAGCCUACACCAUGAGUGUUUUCAAAUCAUAUUAAGAUGUUGUAGGUCUCAACCUCAUAGUCUUACACUUGUUUUCAUAUCGUGACCUGCCAGUCUAGUUAGCAAUAUAAUUGCCUACCAGAGGCUUCAUAGAGGAACAUUUGCUUAGAUUCACUUACCUAGAUGAUCUGUAACACCCCUUACCCGAGACCGUUGUCAGAGUCGAGCACGAGGUAUUACUUAUCUUAUCUUACUAACUCGAAGCAUAAAAACUUGUUUUAAAAAUUAAUUUCACUAUUUAUAGCAAUUUGUCCAAUCGCGCAGCAGUUACUAAAUUAAUUAUAACUCGAGAUACGGAACUUGAAAUUUAACUCCGUAAAUUUUCCCUGAAACUAGACUCAUAUAUCUUCCUACCAUAAAAAUUUUAGGAUUUUUAGUUUAUCAAAUUAGUACAGUUUAUUAGUUAAAUUCUCCCCUGUUUCACAAAUCGACUGCCCUGACCUCUUAUCACUAAAAAUAAAAUGUAUCAUUGUGGGAUUUUCGUAUAGUGCUACCGCUUGCUUCUACAGAAAAUAGACUCAAUAAGGAAUCUAUACAUAUAAACUACAACUCAUAAAUAUUUUUUUAAAAUUUUUAAUGAUUUUAUAAACUCAAAACAGGGGUCACCAAAAACUGUUCUAACCCUGUCUCACCAAAAUUCACAUAUCUUAAAAUAUAAAUUCCUUUUGCUACACCGUUAUUUUUAUGUGAAAAUAGACUCAACAAGAUUUAUGUCAUUCAAUAUUUAAUUCAUUUUAUACUAUCCUAGGUGAUUUUUCAAAGUCACGUCACUGUUGCUGCCUGAAUUCUGUUUCUUUGCAAAAUUUUACCCUUUUAUGAUUUCCAUGCAUAGUUUAUCACUUAGACUCUUAUAACAACAAACACUUCCAUACUUAACCAUUUUAGCAACCAUUCAUCAUCAAAUACUUACACAUCAUUCUUUAGCAAGAUCAUAAAUACAAACAUUUAAAAUAACUAAAUCCCUUUACAUUCCAUACUCAACAUGGUUCAACAUAAAAAUACCGAGUUGCUGUGGUUGAUAGUGUGGACGAUCUCCGACUUCUUUAGGAUCCUUGAAGUAACCUUGCAAUACUAUAAGAGAAAGAGAAAUAAAAGACGUAAGCAUAAAGCUUAGUAAGUUUACUAGCAAAUAAAUAACAAUAUUUAACUAGAUAAUUAAACUCAAGUGUCUAUAUCUCUAGUUUACUAUUUAGUUAAUCUCAUUCUAGUUCUCUUGCUUGUUUACUUAGUAUACUUGUGUGCAUAACUUACUCCUCUCUUGCUGUAUAGUUGAAUAUCAAUUGAUAAUAUAAUAAGUUAUUAACUCUUAUAACUUACCUGAACUUGCCAUUUAUGUUUUUAACUGAACUUUCCUGAACAUGAUUCGUUAUUUAGCCCGUUGAGCUACAUUGGAACAAUAAGGAUACUCGGGUCUCUUCUGAUAAUAACAUGCCAAAGCCAUGUCCCAGACAUGGUCUUACAUGGGAUGUACUCAUGUCGGUGCCCAUUCCAUAUCCCAGACAUGGUCUUACGGGGGACCUCUCAUCUCGGUGCCAAUGCCAUGUCCCAGACAUGGUCUUACAUGGGACCUCUCAUCUCGGUGCCAACGCCAUGUCCCAGACAUGGUCUUACAUGGGACCUCUCAUCUCGGUGCCAACGCCAUGUCCCAGACAUGGUCUUACAUGGGACCUCUUUACCCAAAUGUCAUGACAUUCGUAUCCAGUACCAUCCUUACUAUUCAUGACAACCGAUAUAUAUAUAUACAUACUCACUAUUCACAAGGACUCGAACGAUUAUAUACUCAUCAACCACCUUAAAACAAUGUUCAUAAACUUAUCCAUUUCAUAUAAACAAAAGCAUAUAUAUUUAUAACCAAUGCAUAGAAUCACUUAAUUUAAACAGAUUCACUGGCACUUCACCUGAUAGGCUUAUAGUUUAAUUCAGUUCACCGGCACUUAGCCUACUAGGCUUGUAGCCUGAUUCAGUUCACCGGCACUUAGCCUGCUAGACGUAUAGUCCGAUUCAAUUCACCGGCAUUUAGCCUGCUAGACGUAUAGUCUGAUUCAAUUUACCGGCACUUAGCCUGCUAGACGUAUAGUCUGAAUAAUUUUACUGGUAAUAAAUCCGAUAGUAAUUUCUCCGUUGAAAUUGAAUUAUAUUCAAUUCUGCGUAACAAACAUGCACUUAAAACAUACUUGCAUAAUUCACAACAAUAAUUUCAGUCCAAAGAGCUGUAAUUCAUAUUCGAACUAUAUAUAUAUAAAUCCAUACAUAAAAAUUCAACUCAAAAUUUAUAACCUAUAUCUUUGAACCACAUAGGUACAUGAAAUUCAAACACCAAAAUCCAGCUCAAUAACUUCAUGAUUCAACCUAACAAAUUUAUGUAUAUAACUUUUUAUCUAAUUUCAAUACAAUAACUUAUACAUGUACGUAUAUACAUAUUCGAAUCUAACAUAUACAUAUAUAAUUUCAUACUUAAAUAUAUUCAAGACUUAUUCAUGAGUAUACAUAUAUAUUACAACUCACAUGUACAUAUAUAUACACAUUCAUACCUUUAACCAAGUCCAAGGCUUUAUACAUGUAUAUGCUUAUAUAUAUAUAUUCGGACCUUAUGUUUACAUAUAUAUAUUAUAUAAAUACCUUUGAUUAAAAACAAGUAUUUAUACAUAUAUAUAUUUUCGAACAUGAUACAUAUAUAUUUAUAUCAUUCAUACUUAAACAAAAUUCAAUCCAUAUACUUUCAAUUUCAGCUCACCAAAUUACUAUAGAUAUACAUGCAUAUAUACUGAUUUAAUAACCUCAAAUUGCUAAUAGACUUACCUCGGAUAUCAGCGGACACGAUCGAGUAUUCGAUUACUUUCGUUUUUCCCCGAUCCAAAUUCGUUUUCUUCGUUUUUUAUCUUAAUUAGACCUAGAGAUAGCCGAACCUUGUUGUUCUCUUUUCUUUUCUUUUCUUUUUCUUUUCUAUAUUCGGCCAAGAUGAAGAACAUGGCAUUUAAAAUUUGUUAUAUUAAACAUAUAUUAGCCUUAUUUUUAAUUUACUAUAUUAACCUUUACAUAUAUAUAACAUAUAUAAUAAGGUUACAUUAGUCCUUUGCCACCCACUAACUUACAUAGUGGACUAAUUGCAUAGUAAAACCUCUAAAUUAUAAAGACAACAAGAAUUAGGUCCUUUUAUAAUUAACCCCUAAAUUUUCAUUUUACGCGAUUAAGCCCUUUUAUUAAAUCGGACACUUAAACGACGAAAUUAAAACACGAAAAUUUCACACAAUCAAAUGCAUACAAAACAAUAUUAAUAAUAUUUUUCUAAUUCAAAUUUGUGGUCCCGAAACCAGUAUUCUGAUUAGGGUCAAAAACCGGGUUGUUACAACUCUCCCCCCUUAGGGAUUUUCGUCCCCGAAAAUCUUACCGGUGAAUAGGUUUGGAUAACGCUCUUUCAUUGUAUCUUCUAACUCCCAAGUUGCUUCUUCAACCCCAUGUUUAUGCCACAACACUUUAACUAACGGAAUUUUCUUAUUUCGUAAUUCUUUGAUCUCACGAGCCAGAAUGCUAAUCGGUUCUUCCUCAUAUGUCAUAUCAGAGUUAAUUUCAAUCUCCGUCGGACUAAUCACAUGUGAAGGAUCAGAUCGGUAUCUACGAAGCAUCGAAACAUGGAAUACGUUAUGAAUCUUUUCUAACUCAGGCAGUAACAUCAAUCUAUAAGCAACCAAUCCAACUCGCUCUAUAAUCUCAUACGGUCCAAUGAAUCUCGGACACAAUUUGCCUUUACGACCAAAUCUGAGUAUUUUCUUCCACGGUGAGACUUUUAAAAACACUUUAUCCCCGAUCUGAAAUUCUAUAUCCUUUCUUUUCAAAUUCGCAUAAGAUUUCUGACGAUCCGAUGCUGAUUUCAGACUGUCCCGAAUCACUUUCACUUUCUGUUCGGUCUCUUUAAUCAAAUCAACCCCGUGUAUCUUAUUUUCACUGAGCUCGGUCCAAUACAGUGGUGUACGACAUUUACAACCGUACAAAGCCUCAUAAGGUGCCAUUUUGAUACUAGAUUGAAAGCUAUUAUUAUAAGCAAAUUCAAUCAAAGGUAAGUAUCGUUCCCACGUACCUUCAAACUCGAGAAUGCAACAUCUCAACAUAUCCUCAAGUAUCUGAAUGAUUCAUUCAGAUUGACCAUCUGUCUGCGGAUCGAAAGCUGUGCUAAAAUGUAGUUUCGUACCUAAAGCAUCUUGUAGUUUCUUCCAAAAUCGCGAUGUGAAUCUCAGAUCUCUGUCUGAAACAAUAGAAAUAGGUACACCAUGCAACCUCACAAUUUGUGAAAUAUACAAUUCCGCAAGUUUAUCGAGCGAAAAAUCUGUACGAAUCGAAAUAAAAUGUGUCGAUUUUGUCAACCUAUCAACAAUAACCCAGAUUGCAUCUAUCUUGCUCGGUGUCAACGGUAAAUCGGAUACAAAAUCCAUCGUGACUCGAUCCCAUUUCCAUUGAGGUAUCAUGAUCGGCUGAAGCAACCCAGAUGGUACCUGAUGCUUGGCUUUAACUUGCUGACAAAUUAAACAUUUCGAAACAAAGUCAGAAAUGUCUCGUUUCAUACCUUGCCACCAAUAGUGCUGUUUCAGAUCGUUAUACAUUUUCGUGCUACCCGGAUGAACAGAAAAUCGACUACUAUGAGCUUCCUUCAAAAUCAUCUAAAUUAACUCUGAUUUUUUCGGAACACAUAAUCGGUUUCUAAAUCUCAAACAAUCCUCAGCAUCAACUAAAAACUCCGAAUCAAUAUUUAAGUCACAUUGAGCUCGUUUUGCAGUUAAAUCAUUAUCGACCUUUUGAGCUUCACAAAUCUGUUGUACAAAUAACGGUUUUGCUUUCAACUCAGCUACUAUCGCACCAUCAUCAGACAUAACCAUAUGUGCGUUCAUUGCACGCAAAGCAAACAGUGAUUUUCGACUUAGGGCAUCAGCAACAACAUUAGCCUUUCCCGGAUGAUAGUCAAUCACAAGCUCGUAUUCUUUCAGCAAUUCUAACCAUCGACGCUGUCUCAAAUUCAGAUAUUUCUGAGUCAUCAAAUAUUUCAGGCUUUUGGGAUCGGAAUAAACAUGACAUCUUUCACCAAACAGAUAGUGACGCCAUAUUUUUAACGCAAAUACAAUAGCGGCCAAUUCCAGAUCAUGUGUCGGAUAGUUUUUUUCAUGCGGCUUUAACUGUCUCAAGGCAUAGGCUACAACUUUGCCUUCCUACAUCAAAACACAACCCAAACCAUUUAAAGAUGCAUCACUAUAGAUAACAAACUCUUUACCCGAUUCGGGUUGAACUAAGACUGGAGCUUCGGUCAAAAGAACUUUCAACUGAUCAAAGUUUUUCUGACACUUUUCUGACCACUCGAACUUAACGUCUUUUUGUAGUAGCUUUGUCAUCGGGGUCGCAAUCAUAGAAAACCCUUUCACGAACCGUCUAUAAUAACCAGCGAGCCCCAGAAAGCUUCGAACAUCAGAGACAUUUCUCGGAGGUUUCCAAUCAAGUAUAGCUGAAAUUUUACCUGGAUCAACUCGAAUACCCGAUGCUGACACAACAUGGCCCAGAAAACUAACUUCACGUAACCAGAACUCGCAUUUACUGAACUUUGCAUACAACUGUUUAUCUCGCAAAGUUUGUAACACAAGUCUCAGAUGUUCAGUAUGCUCGGUUUCAUCACGAGAGUAGAUCAAAAUAUCAUCUAUAAAUACUACCACAAAUCGAUCCAGAUACUGUCUAAAAAUCUGAUUCAUCAAAUCCAUGAAAACAGCAGGUGCAUUAGUAAGUCCAAAAGGCAUAACCAAGAACUCAUAAUGUCCGUACCUCGUUCGGAAAGCUGUCUUUGGCACAUCAGAGUCUUUAACUCGCAACUGAUAGUAGCCUGAUCUCAGAUCUAUCUUCGAAAACACAGUAGCCCCUUUCAACUGAUCGAACAAAUCAUCAAUCCGUGGUAACGGAUACUUAUUCUUUAUAGUCACCUUAUUGAGUUGCCGGUAAUCAAUGCACAUUCUCAUUGUUCUGUCUUUCUUUUUCACAAAUAGAACUGGUGCACCCCAAGGAGAGAAACUCGGUCGUGUAAAACCUUUAUCAGUCAACUCUUGCAACUGUACUUUCAAUUCUUUUAAUUCGGUCGGUACCAUACGGUACGGAGCUAUCGAAAUUGGAGUUGUCCCUGGUACUAACUCAAUACCAAACUCUACCUCUCGAAUAGGUGGCAAACCCGGUAAUUCUUCGGGAAACACGUCUGAAUACUUACACACUACUGGCACAGAUUCAAUCUUCUUUUCGGUCACUUUACUAUCAAGAAAAAAUGCAAGGUAAUCUUCACAACCUUUUCUCACAUACUUCUGAGCCGACAUCGAGGAUAUUAUUGCUGGUAAACCAUUCAGAUCAUUAGAUUCAAUCCGAAUAAUCUCAUCAUUCUGACACCGUAGAUCAAUAGUUUUCCGUUUGCAGUUUACUAUAGCAUUAUGCAGAGUUAACCAAUCCAUACCCAGAAUUAUAUCAAACUCGUCAAAUGGUAGCAACAUCAAAUCAGCCAGAAAACAUAAAUCUCGAAUCAUCAACGGACAAUUCUUGCACACUUUGUCAACCAAAACACACCGGCCCAAGAGGUUCAAUACUUUAAUUACAAACUCAGUAGACUCAACAGGCAAAGUCUUACUGAAUACUAAAGUCUCACACACAUAAGAAUGAGUCGAACCAAGAUCAAUCAAUGCAAUAACAUUAGUAUCAUAAAGAGUGAAAGUACCAGUAAUAACAUCUGGAGAAGAAGCCUCCUCCCGAGCACGGAUGGCAUAUGCUCUGGCAAGUGCACGAGCCUCAGAUCGAACUGCCAUGUCCUUUGUUCCUCUCUGACUGCCACUUACAUUACUCAAUUGCCUCGGCGGUCUACCUCGUACAGGUACUUUACUCGGUCUGGUAUUCUACACAGUGUUUUGCUCAGCUACCAUCGGACACUCUCGAAUGAAAUGAUCCUUUGAACCGCACUUAAAGCAAGACCGAUCAUGUAAUCUGCAAUCUCCAGGAUGCCAUUUCCCACAAUGCUUGUACUCUGAUCUAUUUUGUCGAACACUACCAACGCUAGCAACUGAAGUAGCUCGUGAACUCACAGGGGGUCGAUCUCGAUCAUACUUAGGAAACCCUGCAGUAGCUUUAGAUCGGCUAUGAUCCUCUCUGGAUUUCAUUGAGGUCGACUGGAAUGAUUUACUGAAUGAUCUUUUACGAGAAUCUCGAGCUUCAUAGCCAGCUUUCCUCUUCUCUUUACUGAGCUCCUUAACUUUACAAGGUCGUUCAACAAGUACUACGAACUCUUUUAUCUCAAGUAUACCAAAUAACAGUUUAAUAUCUUCAUCCAGCCCAUCUUCAAAUCUUUUACACAUGAUAGCUUCAGUCGAAAUACAUUCUCGAGCAUAUCUACUGAGUCUCACAAAUUUCCGCUCAUAUUCUAUCACUGUCAUACGACCCUGUUUCAAUUCAAGAAAUUCCUUAUGCUUCUGAUCAAUGAAUCUUUGGCUGAUGUAUUUCUUACAGAACUCAAUCUGAAAGAAUUCCCAGGUCACUCGCUCUUUCGGAACCACCGAUACUAGUGUAUUCCACCAGUGAUAUGCAGUGUCCCGUAGCAAAGAUAUGGCACAUUUCAAGUACUCAUCAGGGGUGCAAGAUAACUCAUCAAACACUCGAAUAGUAUUAUCAAGCCAGAAUUCAGCUUGCUCAGCAUCAUCAUCAUCAGUAGCUCUGAACUCUUCGACCCCGUGUUUUCAAAUUUAGUCAACAGGAGGCUUAAGUAAUCUCAUCGGAUCACUUACUUGAGGUAUAAUAGGAAUCGAAGGUGGAUUAGUCGGGGGUGGAGUUUGUUGUGCAACCGGAUUAGUUCGGACAUAUUGAGUAAACCAGUCAUUCAUCAUUUGGUAGAAGGCUUGUUUAGCCUCUCCCUCCUGGUUACUCGAGGUCGGUCGAGAAUCUACCAGCUCUGUCCCUUGUGUGGGAGCAGGCGCUAUACUCUCAACAUCAUCGACUACGGCUGGAUCGGGAUCCAUUACUAUACGAAAACACAUUUUUAGACAUCAGCAGUCAUCGCACUAUCUUGGUAUAAAAAUAUGGCAUGUAUAGCUAGACUCAUACAUGCUACAUUAGUCCAAGAAUCGAUUAAACCGUAGCUCUGAUACCAAUAAAAUGUAACACCCCUAACCCGUAUCCGUCGCCGAAUUAGGGUUACGAGGCAUUACUGAACAAAUACAACCAUUUUUAAAACCAACUGAUCACAAACAUGAAAAUUAAAUCAUUUUCACAUAGCUAUUUAUAAUUUACAAUCAACAUCUAACCAACAUCGUACUCAAACCUAUACAUGCCAUAAGAUCAAGUUCAAAUAUUUAACAAAAUACCAAAAGGGGUCGAAAGUGUGAUAGACUAUGCUGAUGAUCCCCGAGCUCGUAACGCAUCUCCAAAAUCUAUAAAAACAAAUGGACAAAAACAAUCAAAGUAAGCUUUUAUAGCUUAGUAAGUCUAUAGCAUAUCUAAAAUACAUAUAAAAGAAUCAUAUAAUUCUUAAAAUAAAUUUAUUGAAAUCACAAUUAUCAAUUAUAAUUACUAAUCGAACAUUGCUAUAUUAAGUCAUCUUGUUUAAAUCUAAAAGGAUGUGUAUUUAUCUAAUACACAUGAACGGACAAAUGUAUAUACAUUAUAUGCAUAUAAUCAAUUUACUAACAUAAUCAUUAAUUGCAUAUACGGAUUUCUAUAGUACUUAUUGUUCGCACUUAAUCGGAUCCAUUUAAAUAUAAUUGUUCAAAUACAUAUACCAAAAGCAUAAUAAUUUUAUACUUGAUCAACUAUAAGUGCCGAAUGCACAUAUACACCUAUACCCACCUAUGCCGAAUGCAUACAUAUAUACACAUAUAUAUAUAUCCAACAAUUUCGUGACAACCGAUAUAUAUAUACAUACUCACUAUUCACAAGGACUCGAACGAUUAUAUACUCAUCAACCACCUUAAAACAAUGUUCAUAAACUUAUCCAUUUCAUAUAAACAAAAGCAUAUAUAUUUAUACCCAAUGCAUAGAAUCACUUAAUUUAAACAGAUUCACUAGCACUUCACCUGAUAGGCUUAUAGUUUAAUUCAGUUCACCGGUACUUAGCCUACUAGGCUUGUAGCCUGAUUCAGUUCACCGGCACUUAGCCUGCUAGACGUAUAGUCCGAUUCAAUUCACCGGCAUUUAGCCUGCUAGACGUAUAGUCCGAUUCAAUUUAUCGGCACUUAGCCUGCUAGAUGUAUAGUCUGAAUAAUUUUACUGGUAAUAAAUCCGAUAGUCAUUUCUCCGUUGAAAUUGAAUUAUAUUCAAUUCUGCGUAACAAACAUGCACUUAAAACAUACUUGCAUAAUUCACAACAAUAAUUUCAGUCCAAAGAGCUGUAAUUCAUAUUCGAACUAUAUAUAUAAAUCCAUACAUAAAAAUUCAGCUCAAAAUUUAUAACCUAUAUCUUUGAACCACAUAGGUACAUGAAAUUCAAACAACAAAAUCCAGCUCAAUAACUUCAUGAUUCAACCUAACAAAUUUAUGUAUAUAACUUUUUAUCUAAUUUCAAUACAAUAACUUAUACAUGUACGUAUAUACAUAUUCGAAUCUAACAUAUACAUAUAUAAUUUCAUACUUAAAUAUAUUCAAGACUUAUUCAUGAGUAUACAUAUAUAUUACAACUCACAUGUACAUAUAUAUACACAUUCAUACCUUUAACCAAGUCCAAGGCUUUAUACAUGUAUAUGCUUAUAUAUAUAUAUAUUCGGACCUUAUGUUUACAUAUAUAUUAUAUAUAAAUACCUUUGAUUAAAAACAAGUAUUUAUACAUAUAUAUAUUUUUGAACAUGAUACAUAUAUAUAUUUAUAUCAUUCAUACUUAAACAAAAUUCAAUCCAUAUACUUUCAAUUUCAGCUCACCAAAUUACUAUAGAUAUACAUGCAUAUAUACUGAUUUAAUAACCUCAAAUUGCUAAUAGACUUACCUCGGAUAUCAGCGGACACGAUCGACUAUUCGAUUACUUUCGUUUUUCCCCGAUCCAAAUUCGUUUUCUUCGUUUUUUUAUCUUAAUUAGACCUAGAGAUAGCCGAACCUUGUUGUUCUCUUUUCUUUUCUUUUCUUUUUCUUUUCUAUAUUCGGCCAAGAUGAAGAACAUGGCAUUUAAAAUUUGUUAUAUUAAACAUAUAUUAGCCUUAUUUUUAAUUUACUAUAUUAACCUUUACAUAUAUAUAUAACAUAUAUAAUAAGGUUACAUUAGUCCUUUGCCACCCACUAACUUACAUAGUGGACUAAUUGCAUAGUAAAACCUCUAAAUUAUAAAGACAACAACAAUUAGGUGCUUUUAUAAUUAACCCCUAAAUUUUCAUUUUACGCGAUUAAGCCCUUUUAUUAAAUCGGACACUUAAACGACGAAAUUAAAACACGAAAAUUUCACACAAUCAAAUGCAUACAAAAUAAUAUUAAUAAUAUUUUUCUAAUUCAAAUUUGUGGUCCCGAAACCAGUAUUCUGAUUAGGGUCAAAAACCGGGUUGUUACAACUCUCCCCCCUUAGAGAUUUUCGUCCCCGAAAAUCUUACCGGUGAAUAGGUUUGGAUAACGCUCUUUCAUUGUAUCUUCUGACUCCCAAGUUGCUUCUUCAACCCCAUGUUUAUGCCACAACACUUUAACUAACGGAAUUUUCUUAUUUCGUAAUUCUUUGAUCUCACGAGCAAGAAUGCUAAUCGGUUCUUCCUCAUAUGUCAUAUCAGAGUUAAUUUCAAUCUCCGUCGGACUAAUCACAUGUGAAGGAUCAGAUCGGUAUCUACGGAGCAUCGAAACAUGGAAUACGUUAUGAAUCUUUUCUAACUCAGGCAGUAACAUCAAUCUAUAAGCAACCAAUCCAACUCGCUCUAUAAUCUCAUACGGUCCAAUUAAUCUCGGACACAAUUUGCCUUUACGACCAAAUCUGAGUAUUUUCUUCCACGGUGAGACUUUUAACUUGCUCGGUGUCAACGGUAAAUCGGAUACAAAAUCCAUCGUGACUCGAUCCCAUUUCCAUUGAGGUAUCAUGAUCGGCUGAAGCAAUCCAGAUGGUACCUGAUGCUCGGCUUUAACUUGCUGACAAAUUAAACAUUUCGAAACAAAGUCAGAAAUGUCUCGUUUCAUACCUUGCCACCAAUAGUGCUGUUUUAGAUCGUUAUACAUUUUCGUGCUACCCGGAUGAACAGAAAAUCGAAUACUAUGAGCUUCCUUCAAAAUCAUCUGAAUUAACUCUGAAUUUUUCGGAACACAUAAUCGGUUUCUAAAUCUCAAACAAUCCUCAGCAUCAACUAAAAACUCCGAAUCAAUAUUUAAGUCACAUUGAGCUCGUUUUGCAGUUAAAUCAUUAUCAACCUUUUGAGCUUCACAAAUCUGUUGUACAAAUAACAGUUUUGCUUUCAACUCAGCUACUAUCGCACCAUCAUCAGACAUAACCAUAUGUGCGUUCAUUGCACGCAAAGCAAACAGUGAUUUUCGACUUAGGGCAUCAGCAACAACAUUAGCCUUUCCCGGAUGAUAGUCAAUCACAAGCUCGUAAUCUUUCAGCAAUUCUAACCAUCGACGCUGUCUCAAAUUCAGAUAUUUCUGAGUCAUCAAAUAUUUCAGGCUUUUGGGAUCGGAAUAAACAUGACAUCUUUCGCCAAACAGAUAGUGACGCCAUAUUUUUAACGCAAAUACAAUAGCGGCCAAUUCCAGAUCAUGCGUCGGAUAGUUUUUUUCAUGCGGCUUUAACUGUCUCAAGGCAUAGGCUACAACUUUGCCUUCCUACAUCAAAACACAACCCAAACCAUUUAAAGAUGCAUCACUAUAGAUAACAAACUCUUUACCCGAUUCGGGUUGAACUAGGACUGGAGCUUCGGUCAAAAGAACUUUCAACUGAUCAAAGUUUUUCUGACACUUUUCUGACCACUCGAACUUAACGUCUUUUUGUAGUAGCUUUGUCAUCGGGGUCGCAAUCAUAGAAAACCCUUUCACGAACCGUCUAUAAUAACCAGCGAGCCCCAGAAAGCUUCGAACAUCAGAGACAUUUCUCGGAGGUUUCCAAUCAAGUAUAGCUGAAAUUUUACUUGGAUCAACCUGAAUACCCGAUGCUGACACAACAUGGCCCAGAAAACUAACUUCACGUAACCAGAACUCGAAUUUACUGAACUUUGCAUACAACUGUUUAUCUCGCAAAGUUUGUAACACAAGUCUCAGAUGUUCAGUAUGCUCGGUUUCAUCACGAGAGUAGAUCAAAAUAUCAUCUAUAAAUACUACCACAAACAGAUCCAGAUACUGUCUAAAAAUCUGAUUCAUCAAAUCCAUGAAAACAGCAGGUGCAUUAGUAAGUCCAAAAGGCAUAACCAAGAACUCAUAAUGUCCGUACCUCGUUCGGAAAGCAGUCUUUGGCACAUCAGAGUCUUUAACUCGCAACUGAUAGUAGCCUGAUCUCAGAUCUAUCUUCGAAAACACAGUAGCCCCUUUCAACUGAUCGAACAAAUCAUCAAUCCGUGGUAACGGAUACUUAUUCUUUAUAGUCACCUUAUUGAGUUGCCGGUAAUCAAUGCACAUUCUCAUUGUUCCGUCUUUCUUUUUCACAAAUAGAACUGGUGCACCCCAAGGAGAGAAACUCGGUCGUGCAAAACCUUUAUCAGUCAACUCUUGCAACUGUACUUUCAAUUCUUUUAAUUCAGUCGGUGCCAUACGGUACGGAGCUAUCGAAAUUGGAGUUGUCCCUGGUACUAACUCAAUACCAAACUCUACCUCUCGAAUAGGUGGCAAACCCGGUAAUUCUUCGGGAAACACGUCUGAAUACUUACACACUACUGGCACAGAUUCAAUCUUCUUUUCGAUCACUUUACUAUCAAGAAAAAAUGCAAGGUAAUCUUCACAACCUUUUCUCACAUACUUUUUUGCCGACAUCGAGGAUAUUAUUGCUGGUAAACCAUUCAGAUCAUUAGAUUCAAUCCGAAUAAUCUCAUCAUUCUGACACCGUAGAUCAAUAGUUUUCCGUUUGCAGUUUACUAUAGCAUCAUGCAGAGUUAACCAAUCCAUACCCAGAAUUAUAUCAAACUCGUCAAAUGGUAGCAACAUCAAAUCAGCCAGAAAACAUAAAUCUCGAAUCAUCAACGGACAAUUCUUGCAUAUUUUGUCAACCAAAACACACCGGCCCAGGGGGUUCAAUACUUUAAUUACAAACUCAGUAGACUCAACAGGCAAAGUCUUACUGAAUACUAAAGUCUCACACACAUAAGAAUGAGUCGAACCAAGAUCAAUCAAUGCAAUAACAUUAGUAUCAUAAAGAGGGAAAGUACCAGUAAUAACAUCUGGAGAAGAAGCCUCCUCUUGAGCACGGAUGGCAUAUGCUCUGGCAAGUGCACGAGCCUCAGAUCGAACUGCCAUGUCCUUUGUUCCUCUCUGACUGCCACUUACAUUACUCAAUUGCCUCGGUGGUCUACCUCGUACUGGCACUUUACUCGGUCUGGUAUUCUGCACAGUGUUUUGCUCAGCUACCAUCGGACACUCUCGAAUGAAAUGAUCCUUUGAACCGCACUUAAAGCAAGACCGAUCAUGUAAUCUGCAAUCUCCAGGAUGCCAUUUCCCACAAUACUUGUACUCUGAUCUAUUUUGUCGAACACUACCAACGCUAGCAACUGAAGUAGCUCGUGAACUCACAGGGGGUCGAUCUCGAUCAUACUUAGGAAACCCUGCAGUAGCUUUAGAUCGGCUAUGAUCCUCUCUGGAUUUCAUUGAGGUCGACUGGAAUGAUUUACUGAAUAAUCUUUUACGAGAAUCUCGAGCUUCAUAGCCAGCUUUCCUCUUCUCUUUCCCGAGCUCCUCAACUUUACAAGGUCGUUCAACAAGUACUACGAACUCUUUUAUCUCAAGUAUACCAAAUAACAGUUUAAUAUCUUCAUCCAGCCCAUCUUCAAAUCUUUUACACAUGAUAGCUUCAGUCGAAAUACAUUCUCGAGCAUAUCUACUGAGUCUCACAAAUUUCCGCUCAUAUUCUAUCACUGUCAUACGACCCUGUUUCAAUUUAAGAAAUUACUUACGCUUCUGAUCAAUGAAUCUUUGGCUGAUGUAUUUCUUACAGAACUCAAUCUGAAAGAAUUCCCAGGUCACUCGCUCUUUCGGAACCACCGAUACUAGUGUAUUCCACCAGUGAUAUGCAGUGUCCCGUGGCAAAGAUAUGGCACAUUUCAAGUACUCAUCAGGGGUGCAAGAUAACUCAUCAAACACUCGAAUAGUAUUAUCAAGCCAGAAUUCAUCUCGCUCAGCAUCAUCAUCAUCAGUAGCUCUGAACUCUUCGACCCCGUGUUUUUGAAUUUUGUCAAUAGGAGGCUUAAGUAAUCUCAUCGGAUCACUUACUUGAGGUAUAACAGGAAUCGAAGGUGGAUUAGUCGGGGGUGGAGUUUGUUGUGCAACCGGAUUAGUUCGGACAUAUUGAGUAAACCAGUCAUUCAUCAUUUGGUAGAAGGCUUGUUUAGCCUCUCCCUCCUGGUUACUCGAGGUCGGUCGAGAAUCUACCGGCUCUGUCCCUUGUGUGGGAGCAGGCGCUAUACCCUCAACAUCAUCGACUACGGCUCGAUCGGGAUCCAUUACUAUACGAAAACACAUUUUUAGACAUCAGCAGUCAUCACACUAUCUUGGUAUAAAAAUAUGGCAUGUAUAGCUAGACUCAUACAUGCUACAUUAGUCCAAGAAUCGAUUAAACCGUAGCUCUGAUACCAAUAAAAUGUAACACCCCUAACCCGUAUCCGUCGCCGAAUUAGGGUUACGAGGCAUUACUGAACAAAUACAACCAUUUUUAAAACCAACUGAUCACAAACAUGAAAAUUAAAUCAUUUUCACAUAGCUAUUUAUAAUUUACAAUCAACAUCUAACCAACAUCGUACUCAAACCUAUACAUGCCAUAAGAUCAAGUUCAAAUAUUUAACAAAAUACCAAAAGGGGUCAAAAGUGUGAUAGACUAUGCUGAUGAUCCCCGAGCUCGUAACGCGUCUCCAAAAUCUAUAAAAACAAAUGGACAAAAACAAUCAAAGUAAGCUUUUAUAGCUUAGUAAGUCUAUAGCAUAUCUAAAAUACAUAUAAAAGAAUCAUAUAAUUCUUAAAAUAAAUUUAUUGAAAUCACAAUUAUCAAUUAUAAUUACUAAUCGAACAUUGCUAUAUUAAGUCAUCUUGUUUAAAUCUAAAAGGAUGUGUAUUUAUCUAAUACACAUGAACGGACAAAUGUAUAUACAUUAUAUGCAUAUAAUCAAUUUACUAACAUAAUCAUUAAUUGCAUAUACGGAUUUCUAUAGUACUUAUUGUUCGCACUUCAUCGGAUCCAUUUAAAUAUAAUUGUUCAAAUACAUAUACCAAAAGCAUAAUAAUUUUAUACUUGAUCAACUAUAAGUGCCGAAUGCACAUAUACACCUAUACCCACCUAUGCCGAAUGCAUACAUAUAUACACAUAUAUAUAUAUCCAACAAUUUCAUGACAACCGAUAUAUAUAUACAUACUCACUAUUCACAAGGACUCGAACGAUUAUAUACUCAUCAACCACCUUAAAACAAUGUUCAUAAACUUAUCCAUUUCAUAUAAACAAAAGCAUAUAUAUUUAUACCCAAUGCAUAGAAUCACUUAAUUUAAACAGAUUCACUGGCACUUCACCUGAUAGGCUUAUAGUUUAAUUCAGUUCACCGGCACUUAGCCUACUAGGCUUGUAGCCUGAUUCAGUUCACCGGCACUUAGCCUGCUAGACGUAUAGUCCGAUUCAAUUCACCGGCAUUUAGCCUGCUAGACGUAUAGUCCGAUUCAAUUUACCGGCACUUAGCCUGCUAGAUGUAUAGUCUGAAUAAUUUUACUGGUAAUAAAUCCGAUAGUCAUUUCUCCGUUGAAAUUGAAUUAUAUUCAAUUCUGCGUAACAAACAUGCACUUAAAACAUACUUGCAUAAUUCACAACAAUAAUUUCAGUCCAAAGAGCUGUAAUUCAUAUUCGAACUAUAUAUAUAUAAAUCCAUACAUAAAAAUUCAGCUCAAAAUUUAUAACCUAUAUCUUUGAACCACAUAGGUACAUGAAAUUCAAACAACAAAAUCCAGCUCAAUAACUUCAUGAUUCAACCUAACAAAUUUAUGUAUAUAACUUUUUAUCUAAUUUCAAUACAAUAACUUAUACAUGUACGUAUAUACAUAUUUGAAUCUAACAUAUACAUAUAUAAUUUCAUACUUAAAUAUAUUCAAGACUUAUUCAUGAGUAUACAUAUAUAUUACAACUCACAUGUACAUAUAUAUACACAUUCAUACCUUUAACCAAGUCCAAGGCUUUAUACAUGUAUAUGCUUAUAUAUAUAUAUAUUCGGACCUUAUGUUUACAUAUAUAUUAUAUAUAAAUACCUUUGAUUAAAAACAAGUAUUUAUACAUAUAUAUAUUUUCGAACAUGAUACAUACAUAUAUUUAUAUCAUUCAUACUUAAACAAAAUUCAAUCCAUAUACUUUCAAUUUCAGCUCACCAAAUUACUAUAGAUAUACAUGCAUAUAUACUGAUUUAAUAACCUCAAAUUGCUAAUAGACUUACCUCGGAUAUCAGCGGACACGAUCGACUAUUCGAUUACUUUCGUUUUUCCCCGAUCCAAAUUCGUUUUCUUCGUUUUUUUAUCUUAAUUAGACCUAGAGAUAGCCGAACCUUGUUGUUCUCUUUUCUUUUCUUUUCUUUUUCUUUUCUAUAUUCGGCCAAGAUGAAGAACAUGGCAUUUAAAAUUUGUUAUAUUAAACAUAUAUUAGCCUUAUUUUUAAUUUACUAUAUUAACCUUUACAUAUAUAUAACAUAUAUAAUAAGGUUACAUUAGUCCUUUGCCACCCACUAACUUACAUAGUGGACUAAUUGCAUAGUAAAACCUCUAAAUUAUAAAGACAACAACAAUUAGGUGCUUUUAUAAUUAACCCCUAAAUUUUCAUUUUACGCGAUUAAGCCCUUUUAUUAAAUCGGACACUUAAACAACGAAAUUAAAACACGAAAAUUUCACACAAUCAAAUGCAUACAAAAUAAUAUUAAUAAUAUUUUUCUAAUUCAAAUUUGUGGUCCCGAAACCAGUAUUCUGAUUAGGGUCAAAAACUGGGUUGUUACAACUCUCCCCCCUUAGGGAUUUUCGUCCCCGAAAAUCUUACCGGUGAAUAGGUUUGGAUAACGCUCUUUCAUUGUAUCUUCUGACUCCCAAGUUGCUUCUUCAACCCCAUGUUUAUGCCACAACACUUUAACUAACGGAAUUUUCUUAUUUCGUAAUUCUUUGAUCUCACGAGCCAGAAUGCUAAUCGGUUCUUCCUCAUAUGUCAUAUCAGAGUUAAUUUCAAUCUCCGUCGGACUAAUCACAUGUGAAGGAUCAGAUCGGUAUCCACAGAGCAUUGAAACAUGGAAUACGUUAUGAAUCUUUUCUAACUCAGGCAGUAACAUCAAUCUAUAACCAACCGAUCCAACUCGCUCUAUAAUCUCAUACGGUCCAAUGAAUCUCGGACUCAAUUUGCCUUUACGACCAAAUCUGAGUAUUUUCUUCCACGGUGAGACUUUUAAAAACACUUUAUCCCCGAUCUGAAAUUCUAUAUCCUUUCUUUUCAAAUCCGCAUAAGAUUUCUGACGAUCCGGUGCUGAUUUCAGACUGUCCCGAAUCACUUUCACUUUCUGUUCGGUCUCUUUAAUCAAAUCAACCCCGUGUAUCUUAUUUUCACUGAGCUCAGUCCAAUACAGUGGUGUACGACAUUUACGACCGUACAAAGCCUCAUAAGGUGCCAUUUUGAUACUAGAUUGAAAGCUAUUAUUAUAAGCAAAUUCAAUCAAAGGUAAGUAUCGUUCCCACGUACCUUCAAACUCGAGAAUGCAACAUCUCAACAUAUCCUCAAGUAUCUGAAUGAUUCGUUCAGAUUGACCAUCUGUCUGCGGAUGGAAAGCUGUGCUAAAAUGUAGUUUCGUACCUAAAGCUGUGCUAAAAUGCACACAAAAUAAACACACAAAAUAAUAUUAAUAAUAUUUUUCUAAUUCGGAUUUGUGGUCCCGAAACCACUAUUCCGAUUAGGGUCAAAAACCGGGUUGUUACAAUUCUGCUUCUUCUGCAUCAUCAUCUUUGGUAGCUCGAAAUUCUUCAGCCCCUUACUUCCUAAUCUUAUCAACAGGUGGUCUCUCACUGAUGACUAUACCUGCAGCUAGGGAAACUACAUGAGGAACCUGUGAAUCCUGAAGGGGUGGAGGUCUUACACCCGGAUUCAUACGAACGAACUCGGCAAACCAAUCAUUCAUGGCUUGGAAGAAGGCUUCUCUAGCUCCUCCUCCCUGUCUAACUGAUGCAGGUCUUUCACUAACGUUAACAUCUAGUGGCACCGUCCUUUCUGCGGAAGUAGGCGCAUUACUCUCUACUUCAUCUGCACCAGCUCGUUCAGGAUCCGUAACUAUAAAAUAAAAUAUUUUAAAAUCGUCAAGAGUCGUCACACUAUCAAAAUAUAUAAGUAUGGCAUGUAUAGGUAGACUUUUAUUCAUACUGCAUAUUUCUGAGAACCGAUUAAACCUGCUCUGAUACCAACAAAUGUAACACCCCUUACCCAAGACCAUUUUCGGAGUCGAGCACGAGGCAUUACUUAUCUUAUCUUACUAACUCGAAGCAUAAAAACUUAUUUUAAAAAUUAAUUUCACUAUUUACAGCAAUCUGUCCAAUCGAGCAGCAGUUACUAAAUUAAUAAUAACUCGAGCUACGGAACUUGAAAUUUAACUUCGUAAAUUUUCACUGAAACUAGACUCAUAUAUCUUCCUACCAUAAAGUUUUUAGGAUUUUUUGUUUAGCCAACUAGUACAGUUUAUUAGUCAAAUUCUCCCCUGUUUCACCAAUCGAUUGCCUUGACCUCUUAUCACUAAAAAUAAAAUUUCUCAAUGUGGGAUUUUCGUAUAGUGCUACUGCUUGCUUCUACAAAAAAUAGACUCAAUAAGGAAUCUAUAAAUAUAAACUACAGCUCCUAAAUAUUUUUUUAAAAAUUUUAAUGAUUUUCUAAACUCAAAAUAGGGGUCACCAAAAACUGUUCUAACCCUGUCUCACCAAAAUUCACAUAUCUUAAAAUAUAAAAUUCAUUUUGCUACACCGUUAUUUUUAUCUGAAAAUAGACUCAACAAGAUUUAAAUUCAUAUAUCAUUCACUCUUUAAUUCAUUUUAUACUAUCCUAGGUGAUAUUUCAAAGUCACGUCGUUGUUGCUGCCUGAAUUCUGUUUCUUUGCAAAAUUGUACCAUUUUAUGAUUUCCAUGCAUAGUUUAUCACUUACACUCUUAUAACAACAAACACUUCCAUACUUCACCAUUUUAGCAACCAUUCAUCAUCAACUACUUACAUAUCAUUCUUUAUCAAGAUCAUAAAUACAAACAUUUAAAAUAACUAAAUCCCUAUACAUUCCAUACUCAACAUGGUUCAACAUAAAAAUACCGAGUUGCUGUGGCUGAUAGUGUGGACGAUCUCCGACUUCUUUAGGAUCCUUGAAGUAACCUUGCAAUACUAUAAGAGAAAGAGAAAUAAAAGACGUAAGCAUAAAGCUUAGUAAGUUUACUAGCAAAUAAAUAACAAUAUUUAACUCAGAUAAUUAAACUCAAGUGUCUAUAUCUCUAGUUUACUCUUUAGUUAAUCCCAUUCUAGUUCUCUUGCUUGUUUACUUAGUAUACUUGUGUGCAUAACUUAAUCUUCUCUUGCUGUAUCGUUGAAUAUCAAUUGAUAAUAUAAUAAGUUCUUAACUCUUAUAACUUACCUGAACUUGCCAUUUAUGUUUUUAACUGAACUUUCCUGAACAUGAUUCGUUAUUUAGCCCGUUGAGCUACAUUGGAACAAUAAGGAUACUCGGGUCUCUUCUGAUAAUAACAUGCCAAAGCCAUGUCCCAGACAUGGUCUUACAUGGGAUGUACUCAUGUCGGUGCCCAUUCCAUGUCCCAGACAUGGUCUUACGGGGGACCUCUCAUCUCGGUGCCAAUGUCAUGUCUCAGACAUGGUCUUACAUGGGACCUCUCAUCUCGGUGCCAACACCAUGUCCCAGACAUUGUCUUACAUGGGACCUCUCAUUUCGGUGCCAACGCCAUGUCCCAGACAUGGUCUUACAUGGGACCUCUUUAUCCAAAUGUCAUGACAUUCGUAUCCAGUAUUAUCCUUAUGUAUCAACGGGACUUUUUAAUUUUAAUUCUCUAUCAUUUCAUGCUUGGAUAAUCAUCAAAUAAAUUCAUGAAAUAAAUUCAUAGUUGCUGGAAAAUAGCAGCAUUAAUAAAAAUUAUUGAAAUAUUUCAUUUAUUUACCGUAAACUUACCUUGGUACCGAAUAUAGCCCAAUUCACCAACUUAGUCUUCAACUUUAUUCUUUCCUUUGUCUAACCUCGAGUUUCAUUCUUCUUGAUCUAAAAUAGAAAAUUUAACUUAUUUAAUACUCACAUUCAUCAAAACAGCCCUCGACUCUAACUUUUCAAAAUUAUGAUUUUGCCCCUAAACUUUUACAUAAUUACAUUUUUCCCCAAGGCUCGAAAAUUCAACUUCAUCUCAUAUUCUUAUGUUUUAUGGCAUGCUGAAUAUUUUUCUCUUCUAUGACAAUAUCAAAUUCUCACUCUAACACUUACUUAUGUACAUUAGAGAUUUUUACCGAUUAUGUCAACUUACUCGUUUUUGCUUAAAAUCGGCUAACAAAAGUUGUUUAACAUAAUUUAUAGCUUCAUAUUCUAUCAUAAAACAUCAAAAUAAACACUUUUCACCUAUGGGUAUUUUUCCAAAUAUAAACCCUAGGUUAAAUUAUUGCUAGAAUAAGCUAAAUUAAGUUACCGGGACUCCAAAAACGUAAGGAACAUUAAAAACGGGGCUUGGGAUCACUUACUAUGGAGCUUGGAAGCUUGAAAACCCUAAAUAUGGCUUACCCCCUUGCUGAUUUCGUCCAAAUGAAGAAGAUGAGCAUAAUUUGUCAUCUUUUUCCCUUUUAAUUCAUUUUAAUUACUAGAUUACCAAAUUGCCCCUAACUUAAAAAUUUCCUAUUUCACUUAUCUCAUGUCCAUUUUUGUCUAAAAACUUAACCAAUGGUCUAAUUACCAUAUAAAGACCUCCAAUUUAAAGUUUCAUAACAAUUGGACACCUCUAACAUGUAGAACUCAACUUUUGCACUUUUUGCAAUUUAGUACUUUUGACUAAAUUGAGUGCCCAAACUUCAAAAUUUUCGAAUAAAAUUUUCAUGAAAUCAUUUUGUGAAAUCAUAGACCAUAAAAAUAUAAGAAAAAUAAAAUUUUCCUCAUCGGAUUUGUGAUCCCGAAACCACUGUUCCGAUAAUCUUAAAUUUGGGCCAUUACAUGAUCACCUUUUUACUAGCUCAUACAUCUCCUACAUCAGACCUUACAUGCAUGCUUACCAAACUUUAUUCUUUUUAACAAAACUUUAUACAUAUCAUCGUAGCACAUCUUUCAUCUUUACUAAACUCAUAUUUUUACCAAUUUCUGUAGACAUCAUCAUCAUCAUCCUAUAUAUAUGCUUCUUGUUUGAACAGUUCAUAUCAAAGAGUCAAGAUAGAGACCCACUUGACACUCACCUACUGCAGUUCAAAGCUCUAAACUUAACCAUCCUUCUCAAACCAGCAGUAAAAACUGCUUAUAGAACAUAGAAUCACCAUUAAAAACCCAUUUACAUACAAAUUACUAUCAUCUUAAUCACUUUUCCACUGUUAAUUUAUAAAUAAGUGUUAAGUAGUAAAUAAAUAAAAAAAUUAACUAAGUUUUCAAAAAAAAAGUCACUGUGACGAGAAGAAUGUUAAAAUUAAUUGGUGUUUGUUAACUCAUAUGUUUUUCUAAAAAUGGGUUAAGUUUUCUUCUGAAAUAAACAAAUGUUUUAAAAUGAUUGUUUUAUAAACUCCGAUCGUACUAUCCCAUCUUGGUGGCUGAUGUAAUAUCCCAAAUUCAGGUCUAACAUCUAAGUCGGGUUGGAUAGGUUACAAUAUAUAUAGAAAGAUUGAUAAAUAAUGCAAACUUGAAUACAAGCAAAGAAAGAAAUCAAUCAAUGUGAAUGACUAACAAGUUUAAAAUCAUAUAUUUGCAUUAUAUUUUGUAAAGCACAAGAUUGUCAUGGAAUUAGACAAUUUGUUUUGAUAAUGGUUAUAUUUUAUAUAGAUUUACUUUUAUGCACUUUCAUAUUGAGUUGAUCAAAAGUUUUGAAACUUUAUAGAAAAUUUGAAUGAAAGAGCAUAUUGAUAUAUAUGCUAUCUUGAGUGUUGAAUUAAGCAUUCUUUAGUAAAAGAGUGUACAUUUCGCACAUGGUAGGUGUGUUGGUUUCUUAUAUAUUAAUUAAGCACAAAUUAAAGAAAAAUAAUAUAUAUCACCAUAGUGUUGUAAUAUUUUGUAUAAUUUGUGAAAUUAUACAAGCAAAUAAGUUUACCUAUCUUGUUAAAUAAAACUCAUUAAGUUGGUUCUUAAUCUUGAAGAAUUAAAUAGGUUGGCUUCUUUAUUCAUUUUAUCCAACUACAAGUUAGAUUAAAGUUGUGGAAAUAGAAUGGUUGAAAAUUUGUGUUAAUGAGAAUUAGAGUUAUGGCCACAACUGAUGCCAACUAUUUCCUAAAAACAGGGAAUGAUGUCCAAAAACAUGCUGUAAAAUAAAAAUUUGGACAUGUUAGAAUAUGAAUUUAUUAUAUUAUAGUUUCAAUGUAAUACCCUUAUCCCAUCUCUGUUGCCGGAUUAGGAUUUCAGAGUAUUACUGAGAAAAAUAGAACAUUUAACUUUCCAACAGAAACAAUUGUACAAUUAAAUACCAACAUAUAACAAUUGAAUCUAAUCAUGGCAAAUAUUACACUUUUGGACCUUGAAUCGAGCCUAUGGGGCCCUAGAAACAGUUUAGGAACAAUCUGGGAUCAAAUCAAAACAAAUCAGAACAUUUUGAAAAAACAUAAAAAUUUAGGAAUACAGAGGUCACAGGCCAUAUGGCCAAGUCGUGUGACAUAGCCUAGAUUGUGUAAACAUCCGAAGUCAGGACACAUAGCUGUGUCCCAGCCUGUGUGUCUACUCAUGUGUAUAUUUGAAAUAGGGUCACACAGUCGUGUUGCAGACUGCCAAACGUGUGUGUAUUCAAAGUGAGGUCGCAAGACCAUGUGGCCGACCGUGCCACAAACUGUUUUGAGACACAAGGUCAUGUCUCAGACCGUGUAAAACAUGCACUUAAAAUAAUAAAUACACACGACCGUAUCUAGUGACUAUGUGUGGCACAUGGUCGUGUGGUAGCUUGUGUCUCAGGUCGUGUGCUCCAUUUUUAACCCCUAAAUCAAGCCAAUCAAGCAUCAUUUCUUAUACAACAAGACAUACCAUAUCUAACUAAUUUUACAUGGUUAAAAACACAUUCAAAUCAACAAAUACAUGCCAAAAUUUCGUUCAUCCUAUGUCUAACCAAUAUGCCAUCAAAAGGCACCUCAAUCCAUACAUCCAUUCAACUCAAGAACAAAGUUACAAUAAAUGAACAAGUUUUAUCAUUAGUUAACCAUUCAUGCCUAAAACCACUAAUCUAAUUGACCAAAAUAUGGGCAUACUCAACAAGCAACCAUUUCAAAACAUCAUCAUCAAAUCUUUAUAUACCAUUUAUGAUCAACUUAAUUAUAUUCAACACAAGUACACAUCCAAAAUCAAGCACAUCACUAAGUAUGCCAAAAUAACUUAACUAUUUACAUAUCAACAAUAAGACACCAUAUCCCAAAAUGAAAUAAAAAAGCUACCAAGAUGGUUGGAUAGUGUGUGCUCCAAAACAAUUCAUCCGGUUAGUCCACAAAACGCCAAAUCAACCAAUAUAGAUAAACAAAAAGGUAAGUUCUAAUUCUUGAUAUUCAAAUGCAAGAUCACACCACAUUAGUAUAUAUUUAUUUACAUCAUAAAUGAUACCUUCCAAAAUUCAUAACCAAUUCAUCAUCCACAAUUUCUCAAUACAACCAUUAAUAUUUAUAAACAAGAACUUCAUAGUAACAUUUAUCAUUUAGUAGUAAUAUAAUUAUCCAACAAAAUUGAACAAAUAAAUGCGUUUUAAGUCAUUUGAUACAUAGCCUGCUGAACUAUAGUAACUUGACUCGGAUACUCAUGAUACUACAUCACACCAAAGGUAUCAAUGAUGCAUAACAGAGGCACCGAAGUGCAGACAAAUGCAUGAAUGUGCAAUCAGAGGCACCGAAGUGAAAACAGAUGCACCAAAGUACAAACCCGUACGAGUGCGCAUUAAAACCCUAUUGGCAUGCUAAUCGUAUCCUAAUUGUUUACUACGUUCAACUGGGCAUUAUACUUAAAAUCAUAAUAUCAAUAAAUCCAUCAUUUAGAGGCACUUCUUAUUUCCGUACACAUACUAUAAAUAUGUAACUUUCAUUUCAAUAAUAUGCAAUAACAAUAAUUACCAUCAUCAAACAUUCAUUUUCUAUUUGUACUUAAUUGCAAAAUUUAAUAAUAUAUAAGUAACUCAUGAAAUUUCACAUAUAUACCAUUAACUAGAAAACAAUAAUAUAAUCAUAAAGUGACACACAUAUACAUAUUAUUACACUAUGAACUUACCUAAAAUCUACUUUCGAUUAAUACACAGGGACUACUCCGCUAUUUUUUCCCUUUUCUCGGUUAUUGUCUUUUUGACUCGGUUCUUGAUCUAUAUAGUAAUUAAAUUCAAUUUAUGAAAUUCACAUACAUUUAAAACUCAAUUCAAUGCAUGAUACCCUUAUGUUUUCAUUAUUUUCACAUUUUUCUUAAACUUUUACAUUUCUCACAAUUUAGUCCCUACAAAAUUUAACAAAAUUUUACAAUUUUCCAUGUUAGUUGAACUUCUUUCGAAACUAGUACAAUCCCUAAUUAUUCACAAUUCACAAAAUUUCUAUGCAAAUUUUAAUAAUUCACACAUUGAUCAUUAAACUCAAAAUUAACACAAAUUUUUUUACAAAAAUAUCCUAAUCAACAUUCAAAUAUGUACAACUACCAUUAAAAAUCAUGAACACCAAAAUUCCAUUACUAACCAAUCCCUAAAACUUUAACAUUUUUAUAAUUCCAUCCUCGGGUUUAAUAGUUUAAGUUACAACGAGUUCAAAAACGUAAAAAUUAUUAAAAACAGGUAAGAGAAACACUUACAUGCACCAAUUUGCUAACCGAAACUUCAAGCUCCAAAAAUGGAGUUUUUUUUUUCUUUUUCGGUGGGAGAGAGUUGAGAAGAUGAUGAUACCAUUUUUUUCUUUUGUUUCUUUUCUUUAAUCAAACUAAUUACUAAAUUAUCCUUUUAAUCUAAACUAAAUUAUUAACAUAGCAUGUCCGUAAUUAUCCAUUAACUAACCAUAAGGUUUAUCUAUCAACCAAGUCCAUUACUUUAGUUUUUCUUUAAAAAUCAAGCACAUUUAACAAAUAGAAGCCACUUUAGCAUCUUUUACAAUUUAGACCUUUUUACUAAAUUAACUAAACAGACAUUAAAAUUUCUUAGCCAAAUUUUAUUAUGACUCCAAUAUAACUCUAUAAGCAUAAAAUAAACAUAAAAUACUAACUCAUUUGUCGAAAUUGUGGUCCUGAAACCACCUUUUUUGAUACCACUGAAAAAUGAGAUAUUACAUUAAAUCUCUAAUUUAUGAUAAUGAAUGUGAGAGAAUAAUUUUCUUUGUUUAGAAAUACUAAUCAUUUUCUUUGUUUAGUAAUACUACAACUAGAAUGUGUUUCGACCCUAUUAUUAGAAACUAAUAAUGGAAACCCAACUUUUAAUUAGAAACCUCUAAUUUUAAAGUUUAAUAGGUAACACCCCGAAUUUUGGCCCUAGAAGAAAUAUGUUUUGAACAAGGGAACAGUUAGGAGACUGCACAUAAAUAUUUAGUUGUGCAAGGAAGUGACAUAAAUGAAUGUCUACUUCAGUGGUUGAGUGAUUUAGGAGUGUUUGGAACUGUCUGAGAAGUCAGGGAUUCAAGCAUUGCUUAUGCAAAAUUUUUAUUUUAAGUGAAUAAAAUCAUUGGAUCUAGAUAGUAAGUUCUUAAAUUAUUGUGGUUAAAAUAUGAUGCAAAAGAGUUGUUGGUCUAGUGGUAAGGGGUGUGUGGAGUGCACAUAGGGCCUAAGGUUCGAGUGGUGGCGCAUCAGAAAGGAAAUAUUUAUUUUGCUACUUGAGCUGUUUAGGUAGUGGAGUUGGACUGAAACACAACUAAGGGGAGUUUGCAUAGAAUUUGAAUGGAGUUGUUGGGGGAGUUGAGGAGAAACCGGUAGAAUAAUUUAAGGAGGGAUAAGGGGAGAGAUUUUAGGAGAAAAUCAAGGGAAGUGAGGGGAGUGAAGAAGUGUGCCGAAAGUGGACUUUGAUACUCAGGAAAUUUGGCCAGAAGGGAUACUGCUCAUUUUGGUAUACUUUUCAUUUCGGUUUUGUGUAGUGUUUCUCUCUCUUUUUGCUUUUUGGUGCCGAAUUUUUGCUAAGAUUUCGAGUACCACUCGGGUUUUUCUUUUGCUGCUUUUUUCUUUUAUCAUUUCUUUUGUUUUGGCCGAAUUUCUUUUUAGUUCCCUCCUUUGUCGAAUUCUUUUCUCUCUUCUCUUUGUUGCUUCUUUUCAUUUCUCUAUUUUUCCAAACCUUGACCGAACAGUGUUGAAGUAGUUCUGUGUUCCAUCUUUUGUCUAAAAUGCUCUUCUUCCUCUACUCCUUUUGAUCAACUAUUUGUCGAAUAUUGCCUUCUCUCCCCUUUUAUCUCUUUAAAUUUAUUUUCGGCUUGACAACAAUUCUCUAACAGUUCAAAUUUCUUGAGGAGUGAAAAAGUAUCGCAUAAUAUUAAAGUCAUCGAAACCUUUCUCUCAUCACUCGAUCAAAGGUAAGUAUGUAGGCUAGCAUUCUAAAGUGUAGGCUGAGUGCUUUCUAUGGUUUCAUAAGUUAUUAUGUUUGGAUUUAAACCACAUGAAUAAACAAUCCUAUUUAAUAAAAUCCGUUUGUAAUGCAGAUAUCCAUCAAAGAGAUUGUAGUCAACCUUCGUCAGUGAUAUAAGUAGGCUAAGUCACAUUUGACAAUCGAGGCUUUGGUGCUCGUGGAUCUUAGAGUGUUUUCACAAUCAGGUGUGUAAACACCCCACUGUAACCGUAGAACGACAAAAAGCUAAAAGGCCAAAAAUACGGUGUUUGAGACCACACAGGCGUGCGAUCUCUCAUGUGGUAAGCCCAACCCACAAAUCAUGGCCGAUAGACUGUAGAGGCCUCCAUGAACAUUUCCAUGGGCUUAGGCCGUAAUGGGCCACGUUGGGCCGAAAUGGGUCGUGUGGGUUCAAUAGGCUCGUGGGCACCAUACAGAUGAGAACCACGAUUUGUGAAAAAUACUGGACUGGGCUAUGAAGAUCUCAUAGCCGUGGAAAAAUCUGGGCUGAACAGGCCGCACAAGCGUGCGGGCCUACUUGGGCCGAGUAAUGGGCCUUAGGCCCAUUUGUACCAUUAUGACCAUUUAGGUUACCUGAGUCGCUCGAGGUAACUACGGACCUUUCGAGAGGUCGAUAUCUGCACCAAGACCCAAAAUAGGUAAAAUGAUCGAAAUACCCCUAUAGAGUAAAAUGACCGAAAUACCCCCAAAGGAUAAAAUGAUUGAAAUACCCCUAUAAGGUAAAACGAUCGAAAUACCCCCGUAGGAUAAAAUAACUAUUAUACCCCUAGAAGAUGAAAUGACUGUUAUGGCCUUAUGCUAUGUAUGACUGUUUUGCUCUAUGAUAUGUAUGACUAUGGUUGAGCAUGACAUUUUUCAUACACGUAUGAUAUUAUGUCAUGAUAUAUUGCAUGGGGAUGGAUUGUUAUAUUUGGAGGAAGUGUACUGUACUGACAAGGUUGCACGGGUCGCCCAAGACGACUGUGGACCUACUGAUGGCUAUAUGCCAUUUAUUUUACUGGCAGCUUUGCUGCAAUACUGUUUAAUGCUGCAACUGGUGCUAAUCUUGGUGUGUUUGGAUGGAUGGGUAGAUUUUAUCCCCCAUAUGGUGUGUUUGGCGGAACUGUAACACCCUUAACCUGAAUCCAUUCUGACAUUGUCUCACAAAAUUUAUUAUAUCUCAUAGUUUACAAUUUUAUUACUUACACCAUUUCUUCCAUGAGAAACUAGACUCAAUAAGUUUUAAUUCUAUAUUUUAUUCAUACUCUAAUUCGAUUUUCAUAAUUUAUGGUGAUUUUUCAAAGUGAGCCUACUGUUGUUGUCCAAAACUAUUUUAGUACAAGAUGUUUAUUACCAUGUUUAUAACACCCUUAUUUUCUUUCUCUACACUAUUUCUCAUCCCUUUCUCUUAUUUUCUCUUCACUUACAUAUUAAGAACAUAGGACCAUAUAUACAAAAAAACUUUACACUAACAUCAUUUCCAUACUUUUUCAAUAAUAUCAAACUUAAAAAUAUACUAAAAUCUUGAUGUACUUACCUUGUCAUAUUGAUUUUAAUCUUUAACUUGAUUUUCUCUCUCCUCCAGCUUCUAUUUCUUGAAUCUAACUUGAUAUUAUAGCUCCCCAUAGUCUCCUUGUAAUCUUUCUCUCUUGAUGGAUAUGGAAAUUCUUUUGAUUUCUAGAUGAAAAUAGUGAAUUUUUGGUGAAAGGACUAAAUUGUAAAGAAAGCAAAACUUUCUUUCUUCUCUUCUCCUCUUAACGUGAAUUGCAUGGAAAAGAUGGUGGGUUGGUUCCUUUUCAUCUUUCUUUCCACAUAUAUAUACUAAAUAAUAAAAUAAUAAAAUAUCAUUUAAAAAUCAAAUUAAAAUACUAAUAAACUAAUAUUUAUUUGUUUAUUUAAUCUAAAAUAUCUCCAACAUCAUCAUUAUCUUCUAGAUUUCUCUCUCUUCUAAUUGACCAUUUUGCCCUUCAUGAUAUUUUAAAAUUCCAUCCUUGAGUCAUCACUUAAUUUCGUAAAAUUUCAAUUUAGUCCCUCAAAAUUCCUCACCUUUUUUCAAUUUAGUCCUAAUACAUCCAUUUUCCUUAGUUUCUAGAUCAUUCCACCCUUAAAAUAUUUACACCAUUGGUCCUUCAAUUUUUUCAUAUUUACACUUUAACCCCUCAAUUUUUGAGUAUUUACUCUUGGGCAACAAAAUUUUUACGAUUUAAUCCUUUCUUGAGGUAAUAUGUCAUAAUAUACUUCCCAAUGUUGACAUAACUCCAAAAUUCCCUUUUUUGUCGCUUUAUUUCCUUAUUUUUUUAUAUCAAAGAUAAUAUCUUACUGUAAAAAUUUUUUUGGGGGGUAUUACAUUUCUCUCCCCCUCAAAAUAAAUUUCGUCCUCGAAAUUUCCUUAUUUUCUUUUGAUCAUGAACUUAUUUUUUCUUUAAUUCUAUAGUUCAUUUUUUUUGCAUAUAUUUACUUAGCUUAUCAUUUGUGUCUAUUCUUUAUUCUUUCAUUUCACAAUUUAUUUUUAAUUUAAUAUUUCAAACAUGAAUCAGAGAUAAACUUUUACCUUGUAACUAAAAUUAUUUACCUUUUUACCUGAGGCCCAGUGGACUAAAUAGAACACGUAGGAUAUAUGAAAUUGAUACAGAAGUGCUCUGUUAUACAUCAUUAAACAGAGAGCACUAAAGUGUUAUACGGGAGCAUAAAUGUGCUAAUAAUUGGAGAGCACUAGCGUGCUAUUAAUCAGAGAGUGCGCUAAGGUUCCUUAAUGAUAUACUACUAAUAUCCUAAUAGUUCUAAUCUCAUCUACUUGGGCAAAUUAUAUCAUGCAUGCAUACGACUUUUACACUUUGCGCAUAAUGCUUUUACAUACUUUACAAUUUAAACCUUGUACCAAUGAUUCGUAUAUUUAUACCUUCUCUACCUUUAAUACAUGUAAUAUAUUUCAAAAUUCACUAAUAAUCCAUAUAUAUCAUGUACUUCAUAUAUCAUUUUUACAUAUUAUGCAAUUUAGUCAUCAGCGCAAUAUUUCUUGUAGCAAUAUGUUUUUCUUUUAAUGACACAUAUAACAUUCAUCAUCGACAUGUAUUAUAAAACAUUUAUUCAUACUUUCAUGAGUUCCAAUUCAUCCUAAUCAAUUUUUUUUACUCAUAUACUUGAGUAUCACUUUCAACAUUAUCAGAAUUAGCUCGGUUAGGAAAACAUCUCUGUUUAUAAGUAAAACAAUUCUCAUCAGACUCGAGAGAUAUCACACUAUCACAGGUUACAUAAUGGCAUGCAUUUCUAGACUUCACAUAAGCUACGUUUGGUCCAAGAACCGACUAAAUCGUAGCUCUGAUACCAAUAAAUGUAACACUCUUAACCCGAAUCCAUUCUGACAUUGUCUCACAAAAUUUAUUAUAUCUCAUAGUUUACAAUUCUAUUACUUACACCAUUUCUUCCAUGAGAAACUAGACUCAAUAAGCUUUAAUUCUAUAUUUUAUUCAUACUCUAAUUCGAUUUUCAUAAUUUAUGGUGAUUUUUCAAAGUGAGCCUACUGUUGCUGUCCAAAACUAUUUUAGUACAAGAUGUUUAUUACCAUGUUUAUAACACCCUUAUUUUCUUUCGCUACACUAUUUCUCAUCCCUUUCUCUUAUUUUCUGUUCACUAACGUAUUAAGAACAUAGGACCAUAUAUACAAAAACUUUACAUUAACAUCAUUUCCAUACUUUUUCAAUAAUAUCAAACUUAAAAAUAUACUAAAAUCUUGAUGUACUUACCUUGUCAUAUUGAUUUCAAUCUUUAACUUGAUUUUCUCUCUCCUCCAGCUUCUAUUUCUUGAAUCUAACUUGAUAUUAUAGCUCCCCAUAGUCUCCUUGUAAUCUUUCUCUCUUGAUGGAUAUGGAAAUUCUUUUGAUUUCUAGAUGAAAAUAGUGAAUUUUUGGUGGAAGGACUAAAUUGUAAAGAAAGCAAAACUUUCUUUCUUUUCUCCUCUUAACGUGAAUUGCAUGGAAAAGAUGGUAGGUUGGUUCCUUUUCAUCUUUCUUUCCACAUAUAUAUACUAAAUAAUAAAAUAAUAAAAUAUCAUUUAAAAAUCAAAUUAAAAUACUAAUAAACUAAUAUUUAUUUAUUUAUUUAAUCUAAAAUAUCUCCAACAUCAUCAUUAUCUUCUAGAUUUCUCUCUCUUCUAAUUGACCAUUUUGCCCUUCAUGAUAUUUUAAAAUUCCAUCCUUGAGUCAUCACUUAAUUUCGUAAAAUUGCAAUUUAGUCCCUCAAAAUUCUUCACCUUUUUUCAAUUUAGUCCUAAUACAUCCAUUUUCCUUAGUUUCUAUAUCAUCCCACCCUUAAAGUAUUUACACCAUUGGUCCUUCAACUUUUUCAUAUUUACACUUUAACCCCUCAAUUUUUGAGUAUUUACUCUUGGGCAACAAAAUUUUUACGAUUUAAUCAUUUCUUGAGGUAAUAUGUCAUAAUAUACUUCCCAAUGUUGACAUAACUCCAAAAUUUCCCUUUUUGUCGCUUUAUUUCCUUAUUUUUUUAUAUCAAAGAUAAUAUCUUAGUGUAAAAAAAAAUUUUUUGGGUAUUACAGGAACAGAGUGGUGUGUAGAGGCUGGAUUGGGUAGGAUUUCUAACUGCAUAUCUACACUAAUUAAUGAUUUUGUAUUGUUACUACAUCGAUUAAUGAUAUUACAUACUGUUUACUGCAUGACUGAUAUUUGUUGCUGUUAUGGGCCAAGGCCCCACUGAUACUAUUACUGAAAUUGGGCAAAUGCCCUAUUGAUUAUUGGUAUUGUGAUGGGCUCAAGCCCAAUCGUUUAAUGUUACGGGAAAGGGCUUAGGCCCACACUGAACUGGACUGUUACUAUAACAGGCUCAGGCCCAAACUGUAUUUAUCUAUUGUUUAAUUGACUACUUACUUGUUAGGGGAUUGCACACUGAGUUUUCGUAAACUCAACCCGUUGUUUAACUGUACAGGUAAUCCCUAGUUGUAGUAGGGUCAGUGCUGCGAGGGACUCGAUGAUGGCCACACAACUGCAUCAGCUUUUGUUUUUAGCCUUUGAUUUAUAAGAAACUGAAUUUGGGUAUUUUUAUGUAAAAAGGCCUCUUUAAAGUUAUAAACUUUAAAUUGGGGUUUUUAUUUAUUUAGUUUGAUAUAAACUACUAGUUGUAGAAAAAGACGGGUUUUCAAAAGGUAAAUGUUUUCAAAGUUUCAAAAGGUAAAUGUUUUCAAAGACACCACGUUUUCGCAACAUUUCUAAAAAAAAACUUCCGCAAUGAAUGAGAUUUUGGAAAAUUUAUAACGUUUUAAAAGUGAUUAGCUUUUAAUGAUGCAUGCUUGGAAAUGAACAACCCGUUUUGGAAUCAUAGUUUAACAGCAAAAUGAUUAAUUGAUUUUAAAGAUUUCAACGACAACAAGUUUUACGCUAAACACCUUAAAGUGACACCGCCAGAUUCAACCAUAACUCCUAGGCCGGGUUUGGGGUGUUACAAUGUGUUUCAACCCUAUUAUUAGAAACUGAUACCCUAUUAUUAGAAACUGAUAAUGGAAACACAACUUUUAAUUAGAAACCUCUAAUUUUAAAAUUCAAUAGGUAAAAGCAAGUUAUCGUUAAGUGCCUGUGAUACGCUAGUAAAACUCAUUCUAGAAAAAAAAGUUUAAUGGAAACAAUUGUUAUCCAUUGCGUAUAGAGGAUGAAUUUGAAUACUAUUAAUUAAGUUCAUUGUUUAUUGUUUAAAUGUCUAAAGUAAGGGAGACAUUAAAAGAACUCUACCUUUAUAAACAUAAGAAGUGGUGCCACUUCAACAAGUAAAGGUAGGGUCUCUCUUGUAAAUGUUUAUUAUGAACAAGAUAAGCACAUGAUCAUUUUAGUGCUAAAAGUGAACAACCUCUGAUAGAAAUAUAAACGAAUAUUAUGUAUAGUGUAUUUCAACUUCUAAUACUAGGAGUUGUGGUUCAAUCUUCGGACACCGACAACUUAUUAAAACUUUGAAAAGCAUCCGCUUAUUGAUGGUUCAUAUUGAGAGGUAUCAUCUUUAAUGCAUAAUAUUUGUUUGAGUGAAUGACCAUAAAGUAUGGUACCAACAUUUAAACUAAGGGUGAUUGUUAGUAGUUUAUAAUUUUGGCAGUAAAAAUAUUUUAUUAUGUAGAAAAGUCUAAUAAAUUAUAAUUAUUGGUCAAAUAGUUGUGUUGUAAAGACAAUUUUUGUAUGUAAAGUUGUCUUAUAAACUUUAUGUAAAGUUGUGUUGUAAAACAACAAAAUUAUAUGAAAAUGUAUCUUAUUAAAAGAUACAUCCAUAUGAAAGGGUAUCUCAUGAAAAGAUACACCUAUUAGAUGUCUAUAUAAAAGAUUUUUCUGUUAGUUAUUUAAAUUGUUUUGCUUGGAGUGUUGAGGGCUUUGUUGUAUCUUGAAGGUAUUUUAAAAUCUUAAAGAAAGUGCUCUACACACCUUAAAGUCAUUAUAUUUUAUAACAUUAUUUUAUUUUUCUAACUUUUAUUUUCCUAUUAUUUAUUUUUCUAACAGCUAGAAUAUAGGAAAAUUAUUAUGUUUCUAGCUAUAUAUUGAAUACAAGUAUGUUGGUGUUUAGAACUCGAACUUUGAUGGUUGAUCGAGAGAUUUGAAGCAGAAAGAAGAGACGGGAAGUUUUAAGUAGAAAAAUAAUUGAAGACUGGAAUAUAUAAUUGAUUUGCACCUCAACUAUUUAAAUACAAAAGUUCAAGCUAAAAAUAGAAAAAAAAAGUUCUAAAAAUCUGCUAAAAAUCUGGUAACAAAAUAGCAAACAAAUCAAAAAUCUAAUCUCCUAAAGUCAAGGAGAAUUAUUCAAACUUAGUAACAGAAAAAAUUUAAAUGGCAGCAAUCUUAAACACAUGAUCUUAACACUCCUCCUUGUUUAGAUGCUACAAACUCCAAGUUUCUUCCUGAAGCUUUCAAACUUGCUAAGUGGCAAUGGUUUGGUGAAGAUAUCUGCAAUUUGAUCUUCAGAUUUGUAGUAACAAAGAGACACAUCACCACUCUUUUAAACUUCUCGAACAAAAAAUAACUUGAUGUUAAAAUGCUUAGUCUUCCCAUGAAAGACUGGAUUGUUAGAGAUUGCAAUGGCAGCCUGGUUAUCAACUAGAAUCUUUGUGCUUUGCUUCUACUCCAUGUUUAGAUCAACAAGAAUCUUCCUUAACCAGAGAGCUUGGUUAACUGUUGCUGUUGCAGCCAUAAAUUCUGCCUCAACAGUGGAUUGAGCUACAGUUUCUUGCUUCUUCGAGCUCCAAGAGAACAUGCCUGAUCCAAGGCAAAAACAAUAACCAGAGGUACUCUUCAUAUCAUCAGUUAAGCCACCCCAAUCACUGUUAGAGAAACCAAUCAACUUCAAUUCCCUAUGCUUUAAAAACUUUACUCCAUAAUUCCAGGUCCCCUUGAUGUAUCUGAUAACUCUUUUUGCAGCUCUCAUGUGAGUCUCAUUGGGACAAUGCAUGAAUCUGGAGAGAAUACUUACAGCAUUCAAGAUGUCGAGUCUGGUUGUUGUUAAGUACAUUAGACAACCUACCAAACUCCUGAACUCAGCUUCAAUGACUUUGGCAGAACCAUCAUCUUUGAUUAGCUUCUCUUUUUGAUUCAUAGGAGUACUCAUUGCUUUGCAAUCUUCCAUAUGGAAUUUUCUAAGUAUCUCCUUUGCAUACUUUCUUUGACAGAUGAACACUUCAUCUUGGCUUUAUUUGAUCUCAAUGCCAAGGAAAUAAGACAUCAGAUCAAGGUCUGUCAUUUCGAAGACAUUAUGCAUUUCCAAUUUAAACUGAUUAACUUGAUCGAUAUUGCUCCUUGUAAUCAAUAAGUACAAAUAAGCAAGCUUUUUCCUUUGAUUUCCUUAUCUUCUUUUCUUUUUGUGCUUUAAUCUGUGCCACAGUAGGAUUUGCUGGAAGAGGUGGGACCUCGUAAUCCUCUUCUACAGGUUCCCAAAGAUCCAAAGCCUCUAUGUAAGUCUCCAUGCGAACUGCCUACAUCUGGUAAUUGUCUCCAUCGAAGACUGGUGGUGCAGCAACUGAAAAACUGGACCCUCCUUCCAUAUUAACACGCAAAUAACCUAACAAAUCCCUCAAGAAAAUAGCUCUGAUACCAAUUUGUUGGUGUUUAGAACUCGAACUUUGAUGGUUGAUCGAGAGAUUUGAAGCAGAAAGAAGAGACGGGAAGUUUUAAGUAGAAAAAUAAUUGAAGACUGGAAUAUAUAAUUGAUUUGCACCUCAACUAUUUAAAUACAAAAGUUCAAGCUAAAAAUAGAAAAAAAAUGUUUUAAAAAUCUGCUAAAAAUCUGGUAACAAAAUAGCAAACAAAUAAAAAAUCUAAUCUCCUAAAAUCAAGAAGAAUUAUUCAAACUUAGUAACAGAAAAAAUUUAAAUGGCAGCAAUCUUAAACCCAUGAUCUUAACAAAGUACUACUUGGAAGCCAACACCCACAAACAUGAUAAAAGUUAAUUUUGAUGAGAGUUUUGACAUGGAAGCAAGAAAUGAGGAAGAGGGUAGUUAUGCAGCAUUGUGAUGAUUUUUUAGUCUGACUAUGCAACCAUCCAAUUUAGGGUGCAUUCUCCAUUGUGGUGAAAAAGCACUUAAAGAACAUUUGGUUUUUGCACUUAAAAUGUGAUGGAAAAAUGUUUUUCCACCCAAAUACAAAAACUAGGAUAUAAAUGUUUUUGACUUUUAGCUUUUAUGUUUGGAAGUGAAAAUUAUCAAAAUAUCAUUAUUUAUAUUAACUAUUUAAAUGGUAUAUAAAAAUUAGAUUAAUUUAUAUUUUAUAUAUCAUUAUAUUAAAUUAUUUAAAUAUUAUUUAUUAUUAUAUAUUUUAAUAAUUUAUAUAUCAUCUAUUUUACAAAUAAUUUAUAUUAAUUACUUAAAAAAUAUUUGGAACUUAUAUUUCAUGUAUCAUUAUAUUAAAUUAUUUAAAUAUCACAUAAUUUAACUAAUUUUUUACUUUCCACUAUCAUGUCUAAAGAAAAGGAUAUUUUAACUUUUAACAAGAAUUUUUUGUAGCAAUGGAGAACACCAAAAAUUAAUAAACACACUUUUUCAUAGUAAUUUUCAACCACACUUUUCAACCGCAACCCUAAUGAAGAAUUAAUCCUUACUAAAGUUACCGAAGCACUAGCUUCCACCGUAGCCAUUGAAAUGGCGCUCCAAUUGGGAUUGCAACACAUUAUUAUUAAAGGAGAUGCUCUCCAAGUGGUUUCGGAGUUGAAGGAAGACAAAGGAGACCUACCAACAACCGGACCUUGAUAGCAAAGAGUUGAAUACUUGCUAAACAGGUUCAGCAAUGUAGGUUUCAACACAGGAAGAGGCAUGCUAAUGAGGUGGCACAUCAUCUGACCAAACAGGGCCUUAAUUGUUUUCCAUCUUUUGUUCAUAUGUUUGUUUUGAAAAGGUAAAACAAAUCCUCACCUAUUGAUGUUAGAACGGUUGAAUUGCUAAAAGCAUGCUGCAUGCAUAACCAUGCUUUAGGUUAGGCUUCAAAUUAAAUAAAUUUUAAAUUAUUUUUAUUUAAAUUUAAUUAUAAAAAUAAAUUAAUAUCAAUAGAAAAUUAUAUAAAAUUUUAAGAUAUUUUAUUUUUCAAUAAUAAAACGAAUCAUUCACCAAACCUAAUUCUUCAAUUUCUUUUUAAUUAGAUCACAACUCAAGCCAAGCUAACCAAUAAACACCCAAAAUCUACCAUCAUUUUCAUUUUCAUUUUUUUUUCUUUUGUGACAAAGUAGACAGAAGAUUCGGUUUGGAUAAGCUCUACGUUAUUAAGUCAAAAGCUGAAGUAAUUUUAAUCAUAAAUUGUUUUAUUUGUCUAUAAUGCAAAACAAUGACCCAGUUAGUACAAUAAAGCUUUAACUUUGUGGAACAUUUCAGUCCAAAAAAAAAAAAAAAAAGAAUUGUGGAAAUUUUAGAGCAGUUGACCAUUUCUUCGGAAUUAGUUUUCUCACUUCUUGUCCAUAUUCCAUGUAUAUUAUUUCAAGAAAUUAGGUUUAGAAAUUUGCAUAAUUCAACCAUUGAACUAAUAAAUAUUAAACAAAAAUUGGGUGGCAAAAAAAAUCUUAUUAAAAUCAUAUACUAUUACUAAAAUUUAUGAUUAAAUUAGUGUCACGAGUUAACGGGACAUUAACAAAUUAUAUUAUUUGAGGGUAUUUUAAUCUUUUUAUUAAAAAAGAUGAUGUCUCAAAUUAACUCACAAUCUAAUCUAAUUUUUCAUUUUAAUAUUGUAAAUAUUUCAUGUUUUAUUAUUAAUUUGUUUCAAAUUAUACAUUUCAUUAUUUAUUUUAUGUUAUUUUUAAACACAUCUGUAUUCUAAGUACCUAAUUUUCACUUAUGGGUAUCAGAGGCGAAUCUAGGGAGGCUGAUAGGGGUCUCGGUCCCCUUAAAAUAGAAAAUUAUUAUUUAAGCCAUUUAGAAAAUUUUAAAAUUUUAAAUUAGUAAAUGUAAAAUUACACUUUGACCCCUCUAAAAUUAUAAAAAUUUGAUUUAAUCCUUUAAAAAUUAUAAAGAUAUAAACUAUUAAAAAUAAAAAUUUCAUUUCGGCCCUGCCUAAAAAAUUUUUUUGACUUCACCCCUAAAGUAUGAUAGAGUUUCUAGUAUGAAUAAUUUUCUUUGGAAGUGUUAAACAAACAAAGGAGUUAAGUAAACAGUAGUUUUCAUACAGAAAUAUUCGGCGUUGAUGUUUCCCUUUCGAAUAAUUAAAUUAAGACUUAGGAAAAGGGAAAACAAUGAAAAAGAAACUAAAAUUGAGCUUAAUUUAUGGAGUUGGGUUAAAAUUUUAAUAUUUAAAUAUAAAAAUUCUAAUAAUUUGAUCUGGUCCGUUUCAUCUAGCAGACUAAUAAUAAAUCUUAAAACAUAUUAUAUUUUAAUUUAAAUAAAACCAAAACUAAUACACUUGACCUACAUCUACAUGUGAUCUAUGCUUCAUUUAAAUUAGUCUAAAUUAGACGAGAUCUUGAUUAGGAGUCAUUUAUUUAUAUUAUAAGUCCCUGAAACAUGCAAAACUUACAUUUAAAAAUUAAUAUUUUUACGUUGUUGUUAGAAUAUAGGGUUUGUUAAUGUUUUCGUGUGAAGUCAGCUGUUGACAUUACCAAUCAGAUAAUGAAAAGGAAACAUGGCAAUUAUUCCAUCCUAAUUGUCACCAAAUUAAGUUAAUCCAAAAAUUACCAAACGUUUAGUACUUCAAUGGUAGAGUCAGCUCUUUCUUCUAGUCUAUCAAAAAAAGUCAAUUUAACCCCUAACUCUUGGAUGGAAAAGUUUUUGCUAUGAACUUGUUGAAGUGAAUCUCAUGUGAUAUAAACGCAUCGCAAUCUCCGUGUGUAACUAAAAAUAUUUGAGAGAUUGAAUAAUUUAAAGGGGAAAAAAAAAGAAUUUACUCCCUCCACUAACAAAUUACUCUUGCCAACGUAUGUAUGAAAGUAAACACCUUUAAUUAAUCAACAAAUGCUAAAGUUCGAGGUUUAGAAUUAAUUAAAUACCAAUAUAAAUAGUUAAUUACUUUUUUGAAAUAAGGAUAAAUCAGUUUGUGAGGUUUGAAUUUUUUGUAUCUUAACAAUUGUUCUGACUUUAGAGUUUGAAGGUUUUUUUUUUAUCCAAAUUAACCUAUGAACUUAGUAAUUUGUCUCUCAUUAAGGUUUAAAUUUUUUAUUUAUCUAAGUUAAUUCUUAAAAAUCUUGAAAUUCGAGAAUAAUUGUCAAGUUAAAAAAAUUUAGAUUUCAAUAUGAGAAUAAUCUACUAGUUCGUAACCUUAAUAUAAAAACAAUUGUUAAGUUGAAAACUUAAUUUAAAAACAAAUUCAAACCCUUCUUAAGUUUACGAUUUAACCCUUUGAAAUAUUGCGUUAACUAGUAAGAGUAAGAAUUAUUUUGUGUUGAUGAUUAAAUAAAUAUUUAAGUGGAGAUCAAGUUUUACCUCAUUUGUCAAUUGUCAGGUGAAGAAUAUAUACCCCUAAAGGCCUAUCAAAAACGGACCUAUCUCUAUCUAUAUAUCUUAACUAAUUUACUAUUCAUUUUUAAUGAAAAUCAAUAAAUCAAUGAAAACGUUAUAAAAAGAAAACUACGUGAAUAAAUUAUAUGUGUAAAAUUGAAAUAUUUCUUAUUUUAGUACAAUGGUAAGGAACAUUACAUUUUUAAGGAAAUGAUGUCAGGUUCAAACCUUAAAGAUAAUAUUCUUCUUCUUGAGAAGAACAAUCCCAAACUCCAAAAUGAACCCUUAUGAAUUAUAUAAAAAAAUUUUGAAAUAUUUCUAUAAAAUAUCAUUAAAGUUUUUUAUUUAAAAAAUGUUAUGGGUAUACUUUUACCUCUUGUAAAAAAGUCUUUCAUUUCUCAAUUCUUAUGGCAUAGUAAAUUUAUCAUUAAUUUUCAUCUUUAGGUAAAAAAAAUGGUUAUUAUUUGUGUAUUAAAUAAUUGUUAGGAUAAAUUUUAAAAUUGUAUAUGAAUUUUGGUUUAAUGUUAAUUAUAUACAUUAAUUUUAAUUUUAUGUAAUUUUAUAAAUGAAAUUUUAAUUUGAUCCAAUUCUAACAAAUUAUUAACACAGUUAUUGAUAUAACAUCAUUUUAUGUUUAUAUGCUAUAUACAGAAAUAAUUAUGUUUAUUCAAUAUAAAAAUAAAUUGAUGUAUUUAUUUCUUUAAACAUAUAUGAUUGAAUCAAAAUUAAAACAUCGUGUAUAUAUUUGAACCACAAUUAAAAUUUUACAUAUAAAAUUACAUAAAAUUACAAUUUAUAUACGUAAUAAACUAAAAUUCAUAUAUAAUUUUAAGAUUUAUGUCCACAAUUCUCUAAAGCUAAACGGUGAUGAUUACCAUGGAAAUUCAAUGUACUUAACUAAUUGGUUGAUAGGAACAGGCAUGAUGAAAUCCAUGAUGGGAAGAGAGAGAAUUCAAAAACUGGAAUGCCCCCAUUAAUCCAUGCAAAUAAACUUUUUCGGUAUUACAUCAUAAUUCAUUUAAUUUUAUCAUCAUCUCUAUGCCAUAACCAUGUUUAAAGUAAAAUACUUAUAUAAAUUGAGACAUUAAUAGUUUGUAUUAUAUAAAUUAUGACAUCCAUAUAUCCAUAUUAUAAUUUUUAUGAAAAAUUAGAGCUGGCAGAUAAAAAAUGGCUUACUGAUCAAUGAAAAAUAAACUUUAUUUCUUGUAAAUUGACUUAUCCUUUUAAAAAGUAUAAAUAUUUUUUUAAAAUUCAUUUAUGAGUAAUUUUAUUAUUAUAAAAAUUAAUUUUGCAAAGUCUAAUAUUAUUAUAUUAAUAAUUUUAUUUUAAAACUAUUUAAAAAUACUAAUAUCAAAUAUUAUAAUGUUGAAUCCUAGUAACAUACAUAUUAAAUUAUUUAAAUUAUGUAAUAUUGCAAUUUUAUUUUAAUACUAAAUUUUAACAACAAUAAUUUUAAAUUUUAGAUCAUAUUUUUAAUAUAUUAUUGAAAAAUAUUUAUAUUAAUAUUUUAAUAAUAAAUAUAUAUAUUAAAAUUUAUAAAUAUUUAAUAAUAAAUGUUUUAUAGUAUAAAAUAUGAAUAUUUUAAUUAUAUAGAUAUGAGCAUUUGUUUAAAUCAUGUUUAGUUUCAUUUAUCUCCCAACUAUAAUGUGUUAUUAUACACCGUCAUAUAUAUAAUAUAUGUAAUUUAAGCAUUGUUUAUUAUUAAAUUUAUAUAUGAUAUUAAUUAUUAUAAAAUAUUAUCUUAUUAUAAAAGAAAUUCUAAUUAUCAAAAAGAAAUGUUACUUUAAUAUUUUGUAACAAGUAUAUUUAUGUUGGGCUUGUUUCAAUAAUAACUUUAAAAUGAUUUUAGAAAAAAAAUUGUCAAAUAAUAAAAAAAUAUUUUAAGCAAAAUAAUUCAAACACAAAAAACUAUCAACUUUUCCAUAAAAUCAAUCCAAUUUUAAGAAAACAUUUUGUGAAAAUUGUUUUAGGUAAAACAAAAGGAACCUAUAUUUUAUAUAGUAUUUGAAAAGUUGUUGUAUCUAGAAUUAUUAUCUUAAAUAUUUUUUUAGGUCUAAUUUUAAAUUUCAUCCCUUUAUGAAAAUUGAGAAGUUAAAUUUUCUAUUUUACUUUAUCAGUCUGUGCUUGAUUGUUUAUUAAUUUGUCGUGUAUAAAUGGUUAAAUUAUUGAUUUUUGUUAAUUACUAGCAUGUAAAUUGUCAAACUACUUGUUCUCAAGGGAACGGUAAAGUUUAAUAGUAUUAUCAAUUUAGAACAAUUUUUGAGUUUUUUCUUUUAUUUUUCAUGUUCGAGUCCAUAAUUACUCCUUCUAAUAAUGUCGUCUUUAAAGUUUGAGUUCGAAUUCAAAUUCUCUUUUUGGAAGUACAAUAUGCCUUAUAAUUAUACCUAAUACUUUUGAUUUUUGUAAAAUAUAAGAAUCAAAAUUGUGUAGUAGGAUUAAUUUCUAGAUUUUUUAAAUUUAAAAUUUAUAAUAUUAUCAAUCGCAUCACACACAAAACCAAAGAACAAGAGAAUCUAAAAAACACGUGGACCAUUAAUUUAGGAAUGGACAUUAUAUUUUAUUAGUGGAAUAAACUCAUGCAAAAUGGUUGGAAAACACAUACAGGAUUAUAUAUACUAAUCAUUUUUAUUAUUAAGCAGAAUCGGAAAUAAAUAAAUACGAGCGAAACCACUGAAUAAUACAGCAUUGAAAUGCAAUUUGUCUACAUCAUUAUUGUUCUUCACUUCAAACGCGGAGACUAGUCUAGGCUCCCAAUCUUUUGCUUUAUCUCUCUAGAUAUAUCCUUUUCAAACUAUCUUUUUGUAGCUUUAUUUGCAUCACAGCAUUAUCUUUUCCUGCAAACAACUGUUCAAUGAUUAAAACAUGCAAAACAUUCUGAAAUAAUGCACCCUUACCAGAUGACAAAAAAAAAAAAAGAUUCUAAUGUAUCUUACCUUGGAUUGGAGCACGGUCAAAGCCGUGGCUUAGUAGUGGUGAGGAGGAGGGGGUGAAGCGUAGACAUAAUGGGGUGGUGGUGGUGGAGGAGACUUGUAUUUGUAAACUGGAGGAGGAGGUGGUGGAGACUUGUACUUGUAAGGGUGCUUGGGGGGUGAUGGUGGGGGUGGUGGGGGUGACUUGUACUUGUAGGGGUGCUUGGGUGGUGACGGUGGGGGUGGGGACUUGUACUUGUAAGGAUGCUUGGGGGGUGAUGGUGGUGGUGGUGGAGGUGACUUGUACUUGUAGGGGUGCUUGGGUGGUGACGGUGGGGGUGGGGACUUGUACUUGUAAGGGUGCUUGGGUGGUGACGGUGGUGGUGGUGGGGGGGACUUGUACUUGUAGGGAUGCUUUGGUGGGGAUGGUGGUGGUGGUGGUGGGGACUUGUACUUGUAGGGAUGCUUAGGUGGUGAUGGUGGUGGUGGUGGAGACUUGUAUUUGUAAGGAUGCUUUGGUGGUGAUGGUGGUGGAGGUGGUGGGGACUUGUACUUGUAAGGGUGCUUGGGUGGUGAUGGAGGUGGAGGUGGUGGAGACUUAUACUUGUAAACUGGAGGUGGUGGGGGUGGAGACUUGUACUUGUAAGGGUGCUUGGGUGGUGACGGAGGUGGAGGUGGUGGAGACUUAUACUUGUAAACUGGAGGUGGUGGGGGUGGAGACUUGUACUUGUAAGGGUGCUUGGGUGGUGAUGGUGGGGGUGGGGGUGGCGACUUGUACUUGUAGGGGUGUUUAGGUGGUGAUGGUGGUGGUGGUGGUGGUGGUGGGGACUUGUACUUGUAAGGAUGCUUGGGUGGUGAUGGUGGUGGAGGAGACUUGUACUUGUAAGGAUGCUUGGGUGGUGAUGGUGGUGGAGGUGGUGGAGACUUAUACUUGUAAACAGGAGUUGGUGGGGGAGGAGAUUUGUACUUGUAAGGUUUCUUGUGUGGUGGUGGUGGUGGAGGAGAGUAGAUCGGAGGAG